CCCACAAGCGGAACACUAUUCAGAUUACGGAAACCUUCAUAUUUCGGGGGUGGUGUAGGCAUACAGUGACUUAGAUCAGAUGAGUCAAUUCUGAACAUGAAAACAAAUAAGAUGGUAUUUUGUAGGCACUGGUUGUACGAUUGUGAAGUUUCACUUCCCUAACUCCACAGUUUGAUAUGUUUUUAAUCCAAAUAUCUAUAUCUGAAUAGAGAUGAAGAGGCAGAUCAUUAGGAUUGCAAAGAAUAAACUUCAAUAUGAGACCUCCACGAGAUAAAAGAAUACUGCUGCCGGUUAUUGAAAAUUCAUAAAGUAAGUUUAGUUUCUCUAAUUCUGAAAGGAAACCUCUGAGAAAGCCGGUUGAAGAAAAGGUCAUCAAAAACUAGGUGUGAGUGCAUUUCCCAUUUACCCCUCUAUUUUUUUGAGAGAAUGCUCAUUCUUGCUACACAGUCAACCGGCAAUCACUUUUGAAUUAGGUAUAGUAAGUCACUGGGCAUGUCACUUUUGAAUUAGACCUUAUUCUAAAGCGAUUGCCGGUUGACUGUAUUGCAAGAAUGUGCAUUCUCUCAAAAACAUGGAGAGGUAAAUGAGAAAUGCACCCACACCUAGUUUUUGAUGACCUUUUCUUCAACCGGCUUUCUGAGAGGUUUCCUUCGAGAAGUAUAGAAACUAAACUAUAUGAAUUUUCAAGAACCGUCAGCAGUAAUCUUUUAUCUCAUAGUGGUCUCAUAUUGAAGUUUGUUCUUUGCAUUACUCAUGAUUUGUUUCUUCAUCUCUAUUUAGAUAUAGAUAUUUGGAUUAAAAACAUAUCAAACAAUGGAGUUAGGGAAGUGCAACUUCAUAAUCGUACAUUGAGUGCCUACAAAAUACCAUCUUAUUUGUUUUCCGGUUCAGAGUUGACUCAUUUUCCAUAAUUUAAUUAGUGUUUCACUUGUGGGUGUCAUAAUUACUACUGCCAUAUCAUUUGGGGCAAAACUUAUGGACCUACAUUUACAACGUUCAUCAUUUGCGUACUAAUGUCUUCUGUUAACCUUGUAUGUAGGAACCUGAUGUGAAGUGGUAGUAUGUUAUGCACAAGGUGGAAACCUGGGAACGUAUGGUGUCAUCGGUUACACAAUAUUUGCAAUCACUACACUUGAUUGGCAUGGCUUUUGACCAACUCGAAACUGUGGAAUUAUAUGGAGUGAAUCUUUCGUUUGAACUUCAGUCCAUAAAGCUUUUGCUUGCAUCUUCUCCUUCGCUUAAAUUGAUGAGAAUUUAUUACAUGAUUCAUGACCAUGAAGAAGCGUUCAGGGUUUCGCAAGAGUUAAUGAGGUUCGCUCGAGCAUCCCAACUGCAGAGAUUAUAUGGAAGUAACUAGACGUAUUGGUAGGUUUGAUUUGGAAGUUAACGUUGAACCAUAUGAACUCCUUGGGAUUGUUUAUUUUGUGGUUGCGGAAUCAGACCCCUCUUCGUGGCUCUAGAACUUGAGAUCUUUUUUCUGGAUUUAUUAUGUUUAAUUUCAAUGACAGCAAAGUUUUUAGUAUACUUAUAUAUUCUGGGUUUAUUUAAGUUUUUGGUUUAAUGGCGUUCAUGUUUAGAGUUCCGUAAACUGGAGGCCACACAUGUAGUCAUGGUUGCUCCUCUAUUUGGCAAUCAUAUUUUAGGUGCUCUCUUGAGUGUAAUUGUUUAUUUGUUUGUCAUAUUUUGAUGGUUUAACUCUGACUGUCCUUCCUCGAAACUAAAAUGCCUUGAACUAGCAGUCACUCUUGUUUUCGGAAGUCGGAGUGUUGCUCUGUUUGACCCACCCUGUUCUGUACUUUUUCCGAUCUUGGGUGUUGCUUUGUUUGCGCCCCAUUGUUACAAGCAUCAGGUCCUUACGGAAGAGGAAGUGCUUAUCUAAAAGCUGAACAUUUGUCUUCACUGAUGGAAGUUUCUCUCUUUGUAUGCUGUUUAUUCUGGAACAGCUAUAUAGAAUAGCACAUUUACUGACAUUACUUUGAAAUUCUCUUAUCCUUUUCUUGGUAUGUUUAAACCCCUAUGGAAGUCUUUAUUAUUUUCACGAAAUGGUUGAUUGCAGAAAUUUUAAUGCACGUCUCUCCCUGGGAUUUGAACAUGCAACCCUCACAGUUUUACACAAAAAAUAUUCACUACGCCACUAAGAAGUCUCCUUUGGUACUAUUUAUUUGGAAUAUCAGUUUUGUCAUUUCAGUUUCUCGAAAGAAAAAACAUAUCUACUUGCCAUGUUUCUUAUAUGUAAAUCUUGCCUGCUAUUUGCUCAUGUGUUGGUAGUUGUGGACCAAUUUGACGGGUCUUGAGUUUAACUGUCACAAUUUUCAAAAAAAAAGUUCUCAGAUAUUAUUGCGGGAGAAGAUGAUCAUCACCUACCACCUUACAAUCCAAAACAUUAGAUUGCGCAUCGUUUAUCCUCUUUUUCUUCUUAACCAUCUAUUGUUUUAAGACCUAAACGCUAUUUCAUGUAGAUUUUUUCAGGUGGAUGCAUUCACAGAAUCAGCGUUCAAGGGAAACCCAGCUGCAGUUUGUUUGUUAGAAGAGGAAAAAGAUGAGAAAUGGCUACAAUUGGUGGCCACUGAGUUCAAUCUCUCCGAGACAUGUUUCUUGACUAGGAUUGACUUGGAUUCGCCUAAUCCCAGGUUUCACCUCACAUGGUUCACUCCUGUUGCUGAGGUUCACUUGCUCUUGAUUCUUGUCUGUUUUUUGGGGUUUUAUGAUUCCCCGGGUGUCGAAUUCUGGUCUUGGGUAUUGGGUUUGUGUAAAAAUUUGAUCUUUUUGGUGGUAGCGGUCUUGAAUUGAAUUUGUGUAUUGGGGUUGCUUAAAGAUUUGAUCUCUUUGGUGUUAGCAGUCUUGAAUUUAACAUGGGGCAAUAUAAAGUUGAUUUAGACAUUCAAGCGGACGUAAUAACAAAUAAGUAUGAUAUGCAUAUUAAAUCCCUUUGUUACUGAGGUUCAGUUACUAUUGAGUCUUGUCCAUCUUUUUUGGUUUUUGUGAUUCCCCGGAUGUCUAAUUUUGAUCUCGUUAGUAGCUCAUUUAUUUGUGUAUUGGGUUUACGUAAAGAUUUGAUCUUUUUGGUGUUACUGGUCUUGAAUUUGAAUUUGGACAAAAUAAAGUGAUUUAAAAAAGUUAGUUUGGAGUUUGGACACUCAAGCUGAAUAUUCCCGCAAAGAUGGCUUUUCGAGUAAAUUAAGUAUGAUAUACAUAUUAAACCGCUUUAGUAAUAAUUUAAAAUUCUAGUGGAGUUGGUAACUUGAUAGAUAUUAUGAACGUUCAAUAUGUUAUUGCUUUGCUCAUGUAAUAGGUAAAGCAUGAACAACCAUGUCUUUUUUUAAUCAUGCCAUAUCACUGCUACUUUGUCAGUUGUCAUUUUAAUUGAAUGUUGAAUAAAACAUGCAUUAUUAGACUAUGUUUUAUUGGAUAGCCACAGGUGGUGGUUGCUUUAUCUUCCCAUCUGAAACGGGUCUAAGCAAUCAUAUGUGUGAUAUCUAAAACUGAUGAAGAUAGUGGCUUUCUUUAUAUCAAAUUUACCAAUUGCUGGAUAAGUCAUUCGUAGCCGGCUUUUUAUAGUUUACGAAGACUUGCUAGUUUUCAUCUCUAUGCAUAAUGUCUGCUUACAGGUUAAACUUUGUGGCCAUGCAACUUUGGCGGCAUCCCACUUCAUCUUCUCAUCUGGUUUGGUGAAAGUGAAUGUGAUCGAGUUCAUGACACUGUCUGGAGUUUUGACUGCUAGGAGUGUUUCAAUGCCUGAAGUUUCUGUAUUAUCACAGUUGAAAAGUGAUGGUUUCUGUACAGAGUUGGAUUUUCCUGUCGUGCCACUGGUUGAAUAUACUUCUGCUGAGGUGUCUAACAUUUCACAAAGUUUAAAUGGCGCCUCUAUUGUUGACAUCAAGAAAAGGUCUACAGAAAAGGACUACAGAAGAUGACCUCCUUGUAUGUGUUUGGCUUUGCUCUAACAUUUUGUUAAUAUCAUUACCAUGUGGAUACAUUCUUUUUGGAAAUUGUUUAUGAUGGGGCUAACAUAUCUUAACAGUGAAAUGUUAUAUACUACUGCCAUUGUUUCUUGCUUUGGAAAAGUUAAUAUUUUGUAUCUGAGGAAUGUAAAAGUCAUCUAAAAAUGCAGGUUGUGCUCUCAGCUGGAAAGACUGUUGCAGAAUUACAGCCGAUGUUUGAAAAGAUACAGAAACUUCCUUGCAGAGGAAUGACAGUAACAGCGCUUGCUCCCUCUGAAUCUGGGUUUGACAUAUACAGCCGCUUCUUUUAUCCUAAAUAUGGGAUUAAGGAGGUAAACAUUAAUCUAAAUAUCAGGAUUCAUUUAUAAUUUUCGAAACCUUUGGAGUUUUCUCAUAGUCUUGCUACACUUGGUAUGUGGUAGUGUCUUCAUAACCUGUCUACCUUCCGGAUACAUUCUUGUCUUUCUUUUCUUAUGUGUAGAAUUCGGAUAUUCCAUUUGUCCUCCACCCGCCUUUCAUUAUAGUUCAUUUGCUAGAUUAUUUGUAUAAUGUUGAAUACAAAACUAAAUUUAAAUUGUCUAUCCUUAGCCUCCUUGCUGCUUAUUGUCUGUGGAUAUACAGGCACGCGCUGUUUUAAGGGUGAAAUUUAGUUGAAUCCGGGUUUUCAAUAGGGGUGCUAGUUUUUAUGUCUUCCCCUAUAGACUAUAGUUACAGGCACCAGGUAAUUAACUAAAGAAAGAGCUUAUCUAAAAGUUGAACAUCUGUCCUGAGUGCUGGGACUUGAUACAAUCGGUAACCUCUUUAAUGCGUGCAAUUUUAUUUCAGGAUCCUGUCACAGGCAGUGCACAUUGUGCCUUGGCACCCUAUUGGUGCCAAAAGCUGGGAAAAAGUGAUCUUGUUGCAUAUCAGGUGAUUGUCCUUAGUGCUCACUGCUCACUCUCUCUGCCUAAUUCUAUCAAAUGUGUAUGCACACACUGAUUUGAUAUUUGAUCCAUUUGGAGCUUGUUCAUUAAACUCACUAUUCAACUUUGUGAUGUAGUAUUUCGUGAAUUCAGGCAUCAACUAGAGGUGGCUUCAUAAGAUUACAUCUAGAUGAGAGGAAUCAAAGGGUAAUGCUCCAAGGGAAAGCUGUUACUGUGAUGGAAGGUUCUCUCCUAGUUUAAAUAUGGAGGUAUUCCUAGAAUGCCUAAAAUGAACCGGGAGCUAUUCAUAAUUAAAACAUCAGAAUCUUAAGAUCAUUAUAUUGUGUCUGUAACAGUUUACUUAACAAGUUUUUAUAGCUAUUUCUUGAUGAACACUAUUUUCUUAAAUGUGUUGUUGAUAUGUGUUUCGUGCUAAUGAUUAUUGAUAAGUAGUACUUUUAUAGUUCUCUUAGAUAUAUUGCUUGCAAUUAUCUAGUUGAUUAAUUAUUGCAGUUGUGUUCACUCUUCAGAGUCACUGAAACCAAAUUGAGUUGGUAAUCUGUUUGUUGGCCUGACAAGUAACAUAAGUGAGUAUUUAUAAGUCAUUUUAUUCAACAAGUUCAAUAUAUCUAUUGCGAAGUAUUGUGCAAAGUAUGGAAAUUCGUAAAUAAUACUGGCAAAAUUGUGCCAAUAUUAUUUAGAUCACCUAACUUCACUUACGACCGAAAGAAAGCGUUGAUGAUUAUAUUCUUGCCAAGAUUCAUAUAUUUUUGCUGAUUGUAUACUAGCUUUUAGAAUAUGAAUUGAUAUUGAUUUUAAAUUAUAUUUAAUAAUUGGGAUUUCAUUUAAAAUGAUAGUAUAAAUUUGAUUGGGGUGACUGAAAAUUUUCGAUAUUUAUGACUAUUUAAAUUUGGAAGGUUAAUUUUGAAUAUUUAGAAAUUAUUUCAAGAAUUUACUCCGAUAGUCCUAUGUAAAAUGUGUCAGUUCCGUUUUGCAUAUAUUAAGACUUAUGUCAAAUGUAAUUAUAAAAGAGUUUUUGUAUUAUUAUAUUUUGGUAGUUAAUUUUUAUAGCUAACAAAUUUCAAAAAUAUAUAUUAUUUACACAUACAUCUUCAGAACAUAUUAAAAUAACUAGUAAGCUGCUCCAGAGCUCUUCAUCCCAAACAUGACGACGACUAGGAAAGAGGAAAAAAAAAUUCCAGUUCACAUUUCGAACCUGCUGGACAAGUAAGUUUUCUUUUAAUUUUCAAACAUGGAUUAACUUCUUAUUCAUUCAUUUACUUUUGUAAUGUAAUUGGAUCAAAUUUCUUGUAUAUAAUCCCAUGUGAAGCAAACACAUGAAUUUAGCUCUAUACAUUUCAGGCCUGGUUCUCAUUUCUAUGUAUACAACUUGGAUAGUUUUAUGAUUAAUAUGCUCGAUAUAAUACCAUGAUCUGAUAUUGCGUUUGUUGGAUGUUUAAUAAAUGUUAUCCAAACUAAUUGCCUCUAGUUGGUAAUGAUGUAAUUCGAUUUUCAUAGGUUGUUUUUGAUAUCAAUAAUCAAAUUUUUUAGAUAUGUGCAACAGAUCACUGUGAAUAUAUACGUAACAGGUCAGUGUGAAGUGUAAUAAGUAUGAGUGAAGUAUAUUUGAAUUUAUAACUCAAAUCCAAUGAUUUUAAUUGCUAAUUUGAGAAUGGAAUGGUACUGUUUAUGUCAAGUGUUCAUUUUCUUCUUAUUUGUGUACAACUUUAAUAACAUGUCAGAAUGCUAUUUAGUAUUAUUCCACCAGUCCAGGAGUAAUUCCUUUUCCUUAAAAUUUUCGAUAACUUCCCGGGGGCGUAGAAGGCUUAUUAAUAUAUAGAUUUUGUUAAGUAUCAACUCAAUAGAAGUAGUCCGGUGUUAAGUAAAUUCCUUGUCAUCAUGUACAUACGGGGUUGUUCCAAAUUGUGCAACAUAGGACUAAAAAGAACUUUUUCUUUGAGCUAAUUACCUUCACGCACAAGGUUCUCUUAUUUGCCAGAAGAAAAUAAUAAGAGUUCCUUGAUGAAAAAUUCCCAUGUCAUAAUCGAUUGCUCCGCUCGUAAGGUUUGAAACCAAAUGUUCAAUCACACUACAACGUUGCAUAUAUAGGUUAGUAAGUUGAGCCCAAAUAAUGUCGGUAUUAAUUAUGACACCCACAAGCGAAACACUAAUCAGGUUACGGAAACCUUCAUAUUUCGGGGGUGGUGUAGGCAUACAGUGACUUAGAUCAGAUGAGUCAAUUCUGAACAUGAAAACAAAUAAGAUGGUAUUUUGUAGGCACUGGAUGUACGAUUAUGAAGUUUCACUUCCUUAACUCCACUGUUUGAUAUGUUUUUAAUCCAAAUAUCUAUAUCUGAAUAGAGAUGAAGAGGCAGAUCAUUAGGAUUGCAAAGAAUAAACUUCAAUAUGAGACCUCCACGAGAUAAAAGAAUACUGCUUCCGGUUAUUGAAAAUUCAUAUAGUUUAGUUUCUCUACUUCUGAAAGGAAACCUUUGAGAAAGCCGGUUGAAGAAGAGGUCAUCAAAAACUAGGUGUGAGUGCAUUUCCCAUUUACCCCUCCAUGUUUUUAAGAGAAUGCUCAUUCUUGCUACACAGUCAACCGGCAAUCACUUUUGAAUUAGGUCUAGUGAGUCACUGGGAAUGUCACUUUUGAAUUAGACCUUCUUCUAAAGUGAUUGCCGGUUGACUGUGUAGACAUUCUCUCAAAAACAUGGAGGGGUAAAUGAGAAAUGCACCAACACCUAGUUUUUGAUGACCUUUUCUUCAACCGGCUUUCUCAGAGGUUUCCUUCCAGAAGUAGAGAAACUAAACUAUAUGAAUUCUCAAGAACCGUCAGCAGUAGUCUUUUAUUUCGUAGUGGUCUAAUAUUGAAGUUUGUUCUUUGCAUUCCUCAUGAUUUGUUUCUUCAUCUCUAUUUAGAUAUAGAUAUUUGGAUGAAAAACAUAACAAACAAUGGAGUUAGGGAAGUGCAACUUCAUAAUCGUACAUUGAGUGCAUACAAAAUACCAUCUUAUUUGUUUUCCUGUUCAGAGUUGACUCAUUUGAUUCUAAGUUGUUGUAUGUUCACACAACCCCGGAAAUUUGAAGACUUCCGUAAUCUGAUUACUGUUUUGCUUGUGGGUGUCAUAAUUACAACUGACAUAACAUUUGGGGCUCAACUUACUGACCUACAUUUGCAACGUUGCAUUGGGAUUGAACAUUUGGGAUGUCAAUAUAAAUAUUAUAUCAAUCUCACUUUUCUGAGUAUCACCCAUUGUGGGGAAAUUGAUGGGCAAUGGUUUGGAUGCACCCGAAAGGUGAUUGAUUCUGUUCUCAUGUUAUAUGGAGCGGCAAAGAGCAUUGUGGAUUUGGAAGAGCUAGUUGACAAUAUGCCUAGAAUCCGUACUCUUCAUCUUGAUGGCUCUUUUCUUAAGGUAAUUAAAGUGAACCUCGUAAUCUCUCGUAAUGAGACUGGUGAGAUCUAAUUCCCGAAAUUCUGUUUUUGUUAUAGUUUUUUCUACUGGGUAUGAAAGACUUGCGGUCCUCUCUGUAAGUGAUAAUCACAUUCCACCCACUCUGGCUUAGAUUCUGCCUUGUUUUUCUUUCACUUAUUCUCCAGCUAUAUUUGUUCCUACUUUCUCUUUAUUAAUCACGUCAUAACAAUGUCCUCAUAUUAUCUGUAAUAGCAUUGUAUUGUAUUGUAUUUGAGUCCUGAUCUCUUUUUGUCGCAAGAGUUAAUGAGGUUCCCCCGAGCAUCCACAACUGCAGAGAUUAUAUGGAAGUAACUAGCCGUAUUGGUAGGUUCGUUUUGGAAGUUAAUGUUGAACCAUAUGAACUCCUUGGGAUUGUUUAUUUUGUGGUUGCAGAAUCAGAGACCCUUUUUGUUGCUCUUGAACGCGAGAUCUUUUUCUGGGUUUAUUAACUUCAAUUUCAAUGACAGCAAAGUUUUUGGUUUAUUUAUUUAUUUAUUUGUUCUGGGUUUUUCUUAAGUUUUUGGUUUAGAUGGCUUUCAUGUUUAGAGUCCCGUAAACUGUAGGCCACAUGUAGUUCUCUAUUUGACAAUCAUAUUUUUGGCGUUACAAGCAUCAGGUCCUUAAGUAACAGGAAGUUCUUAUCUAAAAGCUGAACAUUUUAUAUAUAGACACAAAAUUACACAAAUAUACGGAGAAAACACUCAUUUGAUCUAAAAUAAAUACAAAUAUUAUAAGAUAAAAAAAAUACUAUAUAUACAAUUUGAUAAUAUAGGUGUAACAUAAAUUAUUAUAUACAAUCUCGAGGUUGCGAAGUAGUUAUAACUAAUAUCACUUCUACAUUUUUCCCGAGUCAAAGAAAUACCGUAAGGGAGGUAUCUACUUUCCGCCUGUAUUUUAAAAUAUUUAAUGUAUAUUUAUAAAUUUUAAUCUUCAACUUUUUUUAGAUAAUAUAUUAAUUUAAUAUUUCAAACAAAUAAUGAGAUUUUAACAUAUUUUGCCUACCGGAUCAAACAGUACUUCAAAUAUCUCUAAUUUAUUAGAAACCUUUUUGAUAAAUUUUUACAAAACAAUUUAAAAACUUAUGUUUUUAAAUAAUAAGAUAAGAUAUAAUCAUUAAAAAAAUAUUAUAUAUUCAUUAUUUAGCAGUAAGUAUCUGAAAAUAAAUUUAGCUAAAUCAUGAGUGACAUAUUUUUUUUCUUUUUUCAACGCAAACUCUAAUAAAAAUCGUUAAAACCCUAGCCCAAAAAAAAAAACAAUUAAAUACGAUUUAAUAAAAACUCCUUAAAACCUUAGCCCAACGCAUCUAUGCUAUACUAUUAAAGCCGAAACAUUAAAAGUUUGGUCAGUCGGUACGCGGGCUUUUAUACGGGCUUUUAUAAUUAGCAGGCUUCAAACAAAAUUAGUGGGCUUCAAACAAAAUAUAAACAAAUCAAAAUAUAAAACAAAUAUACGAUCAAAACAUAAAACAAAUAUAAAACCUAUUUGACUAUACCACAACUAAAAUCAAACCUUAAAAAAUAUUAUAUUAUUACAGCCGAAGCAUUAAAAACUGUGUUGAACCUCGGUUACAAAUGUGUUGAAUGCACGAUUUAUUUACACGUUAUUUUUAAAACUUUGAUGUUUUUUCAAUAAUUUUCAAUAUGGGCCUAUCUAUAUACCGAUUAUUCUUUUUAACUAAAAUAUGUUAUUUUUUUUAUAUUUUCUAAUUAAAAAAACUCUAUUAUUUAAAAUAACAUCGAAAAACAUAGUAAUUAUCUUUUUAACUAUAACACAUUAUCAUUUUUAUAUAUUCUGACUAAAAAACAGAUACAAUUAACACGGGCUACAUAUAUCAUAAUUUUAUUCUCACAAUAAUAAUAGUUUACUAUACUAUUAAAGCCGAAACAUUAAAAAUUUGAUCGGUCGGUAGUUGGGCCAAAUUAUGGGCUUACUUAUAUAAUCAAUUAUCUUUUUAACUAAAUCUAUUAUCUUUUUUUGUAUUUUCUAACUAACAAAACUCAAUUUCCAAAAAUAAUAUUGGACAACAUAGCAACUAGUCAACUACCCUUUUUAACUAAAAAAUGUUAAUUUUUCAGAAUCCUAACUUAAAAAUCGAUUUUCCAAAAAUAACACAUGAAACAUUCAUAUAAAAAAGAUAUUAUAUAUCUAGAGAAGUGUUCUGGUACAAACUUACAAAUGUUUUUUGUUCAACACAUACAUAUAACUCGAGUUCAACAUUUUUUAAGAUAUUUUGUUGAACAUUGAUUUAAAUUGUGUUGAAGUAGUACAUAAACUAAUUUCUCAAUGUAAGAACUAAGUUAAACGUAUUAUAUAACCAAUAUUUAUCUUUCUAGACUCUACCCAAACCCCAGAGAUAUAGUUUAACCAUCUUUAUAAAUAUAUUCAACACAAUGAUAAUUAAUGUUCUACACCCAAUGGUGAACCUCGGUUACAAAUGUGUUGAAUGCACGAUUUAUUUACACGUUAUUUUUAAAAACUGUGAUGUUUUUUCAAUAAUUUUCAAUAUGGAUACUUUCGAUAACUAAAUAUUAACACGUUUGGAGAAUAAAAACAUUCAAAAAAAAAAGUUUGUAACUUAAAAAAUAUUUUAUUUGAUCAUAUUCUAUAUAUCUAUAUUAUUAUACUAUUAAAUCCGAAACAUUGAAAGUUUGGUCGGUCAGUACUUGGUCAAAAUACGGGCCUAUCUAUAUACCAAUUAUUCUUUUUAAUUAAAACUAGCUUAUAGCCCGUGCAAGGCACGGGAGCUUUUUAAUUAUUUAUAAACCUUUUAAAUACAUUUUAAAUGGUGUGAAAAAAUUUAAUUUAUAAAUAAUAAAUUAAAAUUGUAUGUAUCAUGCCAAAGUAUUAAAUUAUUAUCAAUUUUUAAAUUAUUUUAAGUAAAAUAUGUGACGCCAACUCUUAUUAGAUUAUAUUUAUAAAUGUCUUUUUAUAUUAGAAUUAUUAUGUGAUUAAAAUAUUUUUUAAAAAAUUUUUAUGGUUCGAGAUUAAAAUUGAUAAACACAGUUUGUUUUGAAUUAAGACGAUGAAUCAUAAACAUGUAAUAAGAUUGUAGAAUUUGUUUUGGAUUAAGAAAAUUUUUUUGUAUUCGUUCCUCACAUAAAUCGGGCUUAUUAAUUUUAGAAUAUAUUAGAUAAAAAUAAUUUUGUGACGACGCGAUUUAUAUGAUUCUACAAAUAAAAUUGGUAGAAAAUAUUUAUUUUCGAUUAAAAAAAAUCAUAAACAGGUGAAAUAUAGAAUUUGUUUUGGAUUCAGAAAAGGAAUUAUAAACAUGGAAUUAUAAACAUGCAAGUAGAUAUCAAUUGUCUUAUGGAACGGAAGUUAAUUUUAUUCUAAUCUAACGGUGCUUAUUUGUUCAAUAUACGAUCCGAUGGAUAAAUCUAAUUUUGUGACGGUGCGAUUUAUACGAUUCUACAAUUAAAAUUUGUAGGAAAUAUUUUUUUUGUAUUAAAAAAAACCAAAAACACAUGAAAGACGGAAUUUGUUUUGGAUUCAGAAAAGGAAUUAUAAACAUGCAAGUAGAUGUCAGUUUCCUUAUAGAACAAAAUUUAAUUUUGUUCUAAUCUAACGAUGCUUAUUUGUUCAAUAUACGAUCCAACGGAUGAUAAGCUUUUGGACCAUAAGACCAUGCGACCAAAUUAUCUCCCUUACGCUUAUUAUAUAUAAGUAUAUAAUAUGUUAUCUUUUUUUAUAUUUUCUAACUAAAAAAACUCCAUCAUUUAAAAUUAUAUGGAGAAACAUAGUAAUUACCUUUUUAACUAAAACACAUUAUCUUUUUUAUAUUUUCUAACUAAAAAACAGAUUUUCUACAAUUAACAUGAGCUACAUAUAUAAAAAUAUAAUAUUAUUAUAUAUAAUUAUUAAUAACUAACCUGUGAUAUUUUUCAACCAAAAUACAUUAACAUUAUUUUUAAAUACACUAAUGGACUCAAUUUAAAAAUAAUAUUAUAAAUCUAUAAUAUACUAUUAUACUGUUAAAUUCGAAACAUGAAAAGUUCAGUUAGUCAGUAGGUCUGUCGAAUUUGGUGAGCCAUGUGGUAUACGACCCACAACGUCUUUAUUUAUAACAUGUUGUAAUAUAUUUUUUAUUAUCAAUUAAAUUACCAAAACAUUUAAGUUAGUAUGAUGGGUCGGUAUUUAGUUUUACGCGUCUUUUUUAACUUAAUAUGUUCCAUACUAUAUUAUAAAGGGGUUUUCUCAUAAAUACCUAAGUCCAAAAUUAUUUUUGCAAAAUUACUACAUUUUUUGGAAAAAUUAUCAAAUUUUUGAAAAUAUUUGCAAAAAUACUGUAUGCAACCUGUUGCCACCACAUGCAACGAUACUUGCAACCAGAUGCAACCAUAUUUGCAACUCCUGGAGGCCAAUUAACUAAAGUUGCACCUGUUUGCAUCUAGCUUCAGACCGUAUUUUUGCAAAUAUUUUCUAAAAAGUUAGUGUUUUUAUAAUUUUCUUAAAAUAUAGUAAAAUCGCAAAAAAAUUUAGAAAAUGUAAUAUUUUUAAUAAAUUCUCUAUUAUUAAUUAUCAAUAACGAAAUAUUAAAAGAUUGAUUGGUUUAUUUAUAUCUGAUUUUAUAGAUCUCUCUAAAUUAUAACAUGAAAAACAAAUGUAUUUUAACAUUCUCUGUAAAAUAUAUAUGUUCGACCUAAUUUUUUAUUAGCCAUUUGACGAAAUUAACUAUUAAGAAUUUAUCAUUUGUUAAAUAUAAAAUUUAUUUAAUCAUAUUAUUCUAUCAUAAUUUUACUCUCAAAAUAAUAUUAGUUUAAGUUAAAAUAUAUACGAUAAAAUUACAAAUAUUAUAACCGCCCGUGCAUUGCACGGGUUAUAAGCUAGUGUAAGUUGUGAAUUAAAUAAUUAAUGUCGUCUCUAAUAAAAUUACUUAAAACUCUAGCCCAAGCCCAUGUAAGCUAUGAAUUAAAUAAUUAAAAGUGCUCUAAUAAAACUCCUUAAAACUCUAACUCAAACUCAUAUAAGCUAUGAAUUAGACAAUUAAACGCGCAUGGCCCAAGCCCAUGUAAUCCGUUCUAAUAAAACUCUUUAAAAUCCUAACCCAAACCCAUAUAAGCUAUAAGCUAUAAAUUAAAUAAUUUAAAGCGCUCUAAUAAAACUCCUUAAAACCCUAGCCCAAGCCCACAUAAGCUUUGAAUUUAAAUAUUAAACGGGGCUACUACAUUUCAAUUCAAACUUGUGAUUUACGCCAUUUUCUCAAAUGCCUGCGGCGGCUACUAUUCUGUAUUUCUGUAUAGUAAACCCUUUUUCUUGAUUAAAAAUCAACCCAUGACGAAGAAGCCUGUGUGGUAAUCUCAUUCUGUUAGUUAUACAUGCAUCAUUUUGUUUUUUACACACACAUAGAGUGAUGAUUUGCUAAAAAGAUUGAAUUUUUCAGGUGGAUGCAUUCACAGAAUCAGCGUUCAAGGGAAACCCAACUGCAGUUCAAUUGGUGGCCACUGAGUUCAAUCUAUCUGAGAGACAUGUUUCUUCACUAGGAUUGACUUGGAUUCGUCUUCACCUCAGAUGGUUCACUCCUGUUGCCGAGGUUCACUUGCUUUUGAUUCUUGUCUUAUUUUUUAGGUUUUUAUGAUUCCCCCGGUGUUGAAUUUUGGACUUGUGUAUUGGGUUUGUGUAAAGAUUUGAUCUUUUUGGUGGUAGUGGUCUUGAAUUGAAUUUGUUUAUUGGUCUUGUGUAGUGGGUUUGUGUAAAGAUUUGAUCUUUUUGGUGUAGCAGUCUUGAAUUUGAUUGGGGCAAAACAAAGUUAAUUUGGACAUUCAAGGGGAAGUAAUAACGAAGAUGUAUGAUAUGCAUGUCAAACCCCUUUGUUGCCAAGGUUCAGUUACUAUUGAGUCUUGUUCAUCGUUUUAGUUUUUCUGAUGCACACACUGGUUUCAUAUUUGAUCCAUUUGGAGCUUGUUCAUUAAUCAUCGCUAUUCUACUUUGUGACGUAGUAUUUUGUGAAUUCAGGCAUCAACUAGAGGUGGCAUCAUAAAAUUACAUUUAGAUGAGAGGAAUCAAAGGGUAAUGCUCCAAAGGAAAGUUGUUAUUGUGAUGGAAGGUUCUCUCCUAGUUUAUAUAUGGAGGUAUUCCUAGAAUCUUGAGAUCAUUAUAUUGUAUCUGUAGCAGUUUACUUAACAAGUUUUUUUACCAUUUACUGCAUAUAUUUUUUGAUGAACAUUGAACACUACUUUCUUAAAUGUGUUGUUGAUAUGCGUUUCGUGCUAAUGAUUAUUGAUAAGUAGUACUUUUAUAGUUCUCUUCGAUAGAUUGCUUGCAAUUAUCUAGUUGAUUAAUUAAUGCAGCGUAUUCAUGUACAGAGUUUGUUAAGUAUCAACUCAGUGGAGGUAGUUAGGUGUUAAAGUAAAUUCCUUGUCAUCAUGUACAUACGUGGUUGUUCAAAUUGUGCAAGAUAGGACUUAAAAGAACUUUUUCUUUGAGCUAAUUACCUGCACCCACAAUGUUCCCUUAAUUGCCAGAAGAAAAACAUAAUAAGAGUUGCUCGAUGAAAAAUUCCCAUGUUAUAACCGAUUGCUUUGCUCGUAAGGUUUGAAACCAAAUGUUCUAUCCUAGUGCAAUGUUGCAUAUAUAGGUCAGUAAGUUGAGCCCCAAAUAAUAUAUGUCAGUAUUAAUUAUGACACCCACAAGCGAAACACUAAUCAGAUUACGGAAACCUUUAUAUUCCGGGGGUGGUGUGGGCAUACCGUGACUAGACUCUGAUGACUCAACUCUGAACAUGAAAACAAAUAAGAUGGUAUUUUGUAGGCACUGGAUGUACGAUUAUGAAGUUCCAGUUCCCUAACUCCAGUGUUUGAUAUGUUUUUAACCCAAAUAUCUAUAUCUGAAUAGAGAUGUAGAGGCAGAUCAUUAGGAAUGCAAAGAAUAAACUCUAAUAUGAGACCAUUACGAGAUAAAAUAAUACUGCUGACGGUUCUUGAAAAUUCAUAUAGUUUAGUUUCUCUACUUCUGAAAGAAAACCUCUGAGAAAGCCGGUUGAAGAAAAGGUCAUCAAAAACUAGGUGUGUGCGCAUUUCCCAUUUACCCCUCCAUCUUUUGAGAGUAUGCUCAUUCUUGUUACACAGUCAACUGGUAAUCGCUUUUGAAUAAGGUCUAGUAAGUCGCUAGGCAUGUCACUGAUAAUAUCAACCGCGUCUUAACAAUCAAGCCGUCUUGUGUUAGCAAUACUAGUCAUAUUUCUGAAUAUUAGAAGAAGUAAGAACCAAACUGAAAAGAUGUACAAACAAUAAUACUAUAAUAUAAAUAUAAUUAAGUAUAUUUGUAGUGGCCAACCGGGUAGUAGCAAUUAAUCAAAUUUAUCGUAGCACAGAAUUUAAAGAACAUUAUAUCCAUAAGAGCCAUAUAUGUAAAUAAUUCAACUAAACCAUUAUCACAUUUGGAAAAAAGUGGCAAAUCAUUUUCGUAUAUAUUAGCGAAAGUUUAACAGUUAAUUAAAACCCCUAAAUCAAAGAUAGAAAAAGAUUAUGUGAGAUCAACAUACAUAAAAACAUUGAUUUAUUCAAAAAGUUGAUUCACACACACACACACAAACAUAUAUUUAAACAUUUAUAUAUUUGAUUCAUGUAUUGGUGGGAGUGAGACAUUAUGAGUGCGGUGGAAUGAGGAAAGAAAUGUGAGGAUUAGUGAUACAACCCUAAUUCUUAAUUAUGUAAUCUAUAUAACGAUGUCGUGUAAUAAGUUGACUGCAAGAUAUUUGCAUAUGCUAAAAAACCGUAUCGUGUGGAACAGAACAUUCUAAAAUGGCUAAACACAACACCGUUUAAGGAUAAUAUUUACAAAUCAAUUCUUUUUUUUUAUUUAUUUCCAUUUUAGGGGCAGUAUGCUGAUACUUGUGUACAGGGAAACAACUAUCAACAUAUGUAGACAUUCCCCUGCCUAAAUAACAACCCUCCUCCAAAAUGGAAAUAAAUAUAAAAAGAAAUGAUUUGUAGAUAUUAUCCUUAAACGAUGUCGUGUUUAGCCAUUCUAGAAUGUUCUUUUUCAUAUGAUGCCGUUUUCUAGCAUAUGCAAAUAUUUUGCAGUCAAAUUAUUACACGACGUCGUUAUAGAGAUUACAUAAUUAAGAAUUAGGGUUGUAUCGCUAAUUCUCACAUUCUUUCUCACUCCGCCGCGCUCAUGUUGUCUCACUCCCAGCAAAGGUAUCAAAUGUUUAUAUAUAUUUAUGUGUGUGUGUGUGUAUUUGAAUCAUUGUUUUUUUUGAAUAUAUCAAUGUCUUUAUGUAUGUUGAUAUCUCACAUAAUAUUUUUUUCCAUUUUUGCUUUAAGGGUUUUAAUUAAUUGUUGAACUUUCGCUAAUAUAUAUGAAAAUGGUUUUGGCACUUUUUUCCAUAUGUGAUAAUGGUUUAGUUGAAUUGUUUACAUACUCGGCUGUGAUGCAUAAAUGUUCAUUAAAUUCAGUACUAUGAUAAGUUUGAUUAAUUGUUACUACCCAGUUGGUCUUUAUAUAUUGUAGCAUUACUGUUUGUAAAAUUCUUUUCAGUUUGGUUCCUACUUCUUUUAAGUAUUCAGAGAUAUGCCCAGUGAUGCUAACACAAGGCGGCUUGAUUGUGGAGACGCAGUUGAUAUUAUCAGUGACCUGCCCAGUGACUUAUUAGACCUUAUUCUAAACCGAUUGCCGGUUGACUGUGUAGCAAGAAUGUGCAUUCUCUAAAAAUCAUGGAGGGGUAAACGGGAAAUGCACCCACACUUAUUUUUUGAUGACCUUCUCUCCAACUGGCUUUCUCGGAGGUUUCCUUCCAGAAGUAGAGAAACUAAACUAUAUAAAUUUUCAAGAACUUUUAUCAGUAUUCUUUUAUCUUGUAGUGGUCUCAUAUUGAAGUUUGUUCUUUGCAUUCCUAAUGAUUUGUUUCUUCAUCUCUAUUCAAAUAUAGAUAUUUGAAUUAAAAACGUAAGAAACAAUGGAGUUAGGGAAGUGCAACUUCAUAAUCGUACAUUGAGUGCCUACAAAAUACCAUCUUAUUUGUUUUCCGGUUCAGAGUUGACUUGUUUAAUUCUAAGUUACUGUAUGCUCACACCACCCCCUAAAAUUGGAGGCUUCCAUAAUUUGAUUAUUGUUUCACUUGUGGGUGUCAUAAUUACUAUUGCCAUAUCAUUUGGGGCUCAACUUAUGGACCUACAUUUACAACGUUCUCAGAUAUUAUUGCGGGAGAAGAUGAUCAUCACCUACCACCUUACAAUCCAAAACAUUAGAUUGCGCAUCGUUUAUCCUCUUUUUCUUCUUAACCAUCUAGUGUUUUAAGACCUAAACGCUAUUUCCUGUAGAUUUUUUCAGGUGGAUGCAUUCACAGAAUCAGCGUUCAAGGGAAACCCAGCUGCAGUUUGUUUGUUAGAAGAGGAAAAAGGUGAGAAAUGGCUACAAUUGGUGGCCACUGAGUUCAAUCUCUCUGAGACAUGUUUCUUGACUAGGAUUGACUUGGAUUCGCCUAAUCCCAGGUUUCAGCUCAGAUGAUUCACUCCUGUUGCUGAGGUUCACUUGCUCUUGAUUCUUGUCUGUGUUUUUUGGGGUUUUAUGAUUCCCCGGGUGUCAAAUUCUGGUCUUGGGUAUUGGGUUUGUGUAAAGAUUUGAUUUUUUUGGUGGUAGCGGUCUUGAAUUGAAUUUGUGUAUUGGGGUUGCUUAAAGAUUUGAUCUCUUUGGUGUUAGCAGUCUUGAAUUUAACAUGGGGCAAAAUAAAGUUGAUUUAGACAUUCAAGCGGACGUAAUAACAAAUAAGUAUGAUAUGCAUAUUAAAUCCCUUUGUUACUGAGGUUCAGUUACUAUUGAGUCUUGUCCAUCUUUUUGGUUUUUGUGAUUCCCCGGAUGUCUAAUUUUGAUCUCGUUAGUAGCUCAUUUAUCUGUGUAUUGGGUUGACGUAAAGAUUUGAUCUUUUUGGUGUUACUGGUCUUGAAUAUGAAUUCGGGCAAAAUAAAGUGUUUUAAAAAAGUUAGUUUGGAGUUUGGACACUCAAGCUGAAUAUUCCCGCAAAGAUGGCUUUUCGAGUAAAUUAAGUAUGAUAUACAUAUUAAACCGCUUUAGUAAUAAUUUAAAAUUCUAGUGGAUUUGGUAACUUAAUAGAUAUUAUGUACUUUCAAUAUGUUAUUGCUUUGCUUAUGGAAUAGGUAAAGCAUGAAUAACCACGUCUUUUCUUAAUUAUGCCAUAUCACUGCUACUUUGUCAGUUGUCAUUUUACUUGAAUGUUGAAUAAAACAUGCAUAAUUAGACUAUGUUUUAUUGGAUAGCCACAGGUGGUGGUUGCUUUAUCUUCCCAUCUGAAACGGGUCUAAGCAAUCAUAUGUGUGAUAGCUAAAACUGAUGAAGAUAGUGGCUUUCUCUAUAUUAAAUUUACCAAUUGCUGGAAAAGUCAUUCGUAGCCGGCUUUUUAUAGUUUACGAAGACUUGCUAGUUUUCAUCUCUAUGCAUGAUGUCUGCUUACAGGUUAAACUUUGUGGCCAUGCAACUUUGGCGGCAUCCCACUUCAUCUUCUCAUCUGGUUUGGUGAAAGUUAAUGUGAUCGAGUUCAUGACACUGUCUGGAGUUUUGACUGCUAGGAGGGUUUCACUGCCUGAAGUUUCUGUAUUAUCACAGUUGAAAAGUGAUGGUUUCUGUAUAGAGUUGGAUUUUCCUGUCGUGCCACUGGUUGAAUAUACUUCUGUUGAGGUGUCAAACAUUUCACAAAGUUUAAAUGGCGCCUCUAUUGUUGACAUCAAGAAAAGGACUACAGAAGAUGACCUCCUUGUAUGUGUUUGGCUUUGCUCUAACAUUUUGUUAAUAUCAUUACCAUGUGGAUACAUUCUUUCUGGAAGUUGUUUAUGAUGGGGCUAACAUAUCUAAACAGUGAAAUGUUAUAUACUAGUGCCAUUGUUUCUUGCUUUGGAAAAGUUAAUAUUUUGUAUUUGAGGAAUGUAAAAGUCAUCUAAAAAUGCAGGUUAUGCUCUCAUCUGGAAAGACUGUUGCAGAAUUACAGCCGAUGUUUGAAAAGAUACAGAAACUUCCUUGCAGAGGAAUGACAGUAACAGCGCUUGCUCCCUCUGAAUCUGGGUUUGACAUAUACAGCCGCUUCUUUUGUCUUAAAUAUGGGAUUAAGGAGGUAAACAUUAAGCUAAAUAUCAGGAUUCAUUUAUAAUUUUCGAAACAUUUGGAGUUUUCUCAUAGUCUUGCUACACUUGGUAUGUGGUAGUCUCUUCAUAACCUGUCUACCUUCCGGAUACAUUCUUGUCUUUCUUUUCCUAUGUGUAGAAUUCGGAUAUUCCAUUUGGCCUCCACCCGCCUUUCAUUAUAGUUCAUUUGCUAGAUUAUUUGUAUAAUGUUGAAUCCAAAACUAAAUUUAAAUUGUCUAUCCUUAGCCUCCUUGCUUCUUAUUGUCUGUGGAUAUACAGGCACGUGCUGUUUUAAGGGUGAAAUUUAGUUGAAUCCGGGUUUUCGAUAGAGGUGCUAGUUUUUAUGUCCUGUCUUCCCCUAUAGACUAUAGUUACAUGCACCAGGUCAAUAACUAAAGAAAGAGCUUAUCUAAAAGUUGAACAUCUGUCCUGAGUGCUGGGACUUGAUACAAUCGGUAACCUCUUUAAUGCGUGCAAUUUUAUUUCAGGAUCCUGUCACAGGCAUUGCACGUUGUGCCUUGGCACCCUUUGGUGCCAAAAGCUGGGAAAAAGUGAUCUUGUUGCAUAUCAGGUUAUUGUUCUUAGUGCUCACUGCUCACUCUCUGCCUAACUCUAUCAAAUGUGUAUGCACACACUGAUUUCAUAUUUGAUCCAUUUGGAGCUUGUUCAUUAAACUCACUAUUCAACUUUGUGAUGUAGUAUUUCGUGAAUUCAGGCAUCAACAAGAGGUGGCUUCAUAAGAUUUCAUCUAGAUGAGAGGAAUCAAAGGGUAAUGCUCCAAGGGAAAGCUGUUACUGUGAUGGAAGGUUCUCUCCUAGUUUAAAUAUGGAGGUAUUCCUAGAAUGCCUAAAAUGAACUGGGAGCUAUUCAUAAUUAAAACAUCAGAAUCUUGAGAUCAUUAUAUUGUGUCUGUAACAGUUUACUUAACAAGUUUUUAUAGCUAUUUCUUGAUGAACACUAUCUUCUUAAAUGUGUUGUUGAUAUGUGUUUCGUGCUAAUGAUUAUUGAUAAGUAGUACUUUUAUAGUUCUCUUAGAUAGAUUGCUUGCAAUUAUCUAGUUGAUUAAUUAUUGCAGUUGUGUUCACUCUUCAGAGUCACUGAAACUAAAUUGAGUUGGUAAUCUGUUUGUUGGCCUGACAAGUAACAUAAGUGAGUAUUUAUGAGUCAUUUUAUUCAACAUGUUCAAUAUAUCUAUUGCGAAGUAUUGUGCAAAGUAUGGAAAAUCGUAAAUAAUACUGGCAAAAUUGUGCCAAUAUUAUUCAGAUCACUUAACUUCACUUAUUACCGAAAGAAAGCCGUUGAUGAUUAUAUUCUUGCCAAGAUUCAUAUAUUUUUGCUGAUUGUAUACUAGUUUUUAGAAUAUGAAUUGAUAUUGAAUUGAUAUUAUAUUUAAUAAUUGGCAUUUCAUUUAAAAUGAUAGUAUAAUUUUGAUUUUGAAUUUGGAAGGUUAAUUUUGAAUAUUUAGAAAUUAUUUCAAGAAUUUAGUCCGAUAGUCCUAUGUAAUAUGUGUCAGUUCCUUUUUGUAUGUAUUAAGACUUAUGUCAAAUGUAAUUAUAAAAGAGUUUUUGUAUUAUUAUAUGUUGGUAGUUAAUUUUUGGGAUAUUUUUAAAAAUACCCAUCUGUAAAAUUAUUUUUUUAAAAAUACUACCAUCUUUUUCAUUGUUUUUAAAAAUACCUUUUCAUAAAUUUUUUUUUUCAAAAAUACGAUUUGCAACCUUUGCAACCUCAUUUGCAACCUUGGGCGGCGCAGCCGUAAAAGUUGCAAAUGAGGUUGCAAAAGUUGCAAAUAAAAAUGGAAAUGAGGUUGCAAAAGUUGCAAAUGAGGUUGCAAAAGUUGCAAAUAAAAAUGGAAAGUUGCAACAGUUGCAACUGCAAUUGCAACUAGUUCAACUGAAAACUGUAAGUUGCAAAAGUUGCAAAUGAGGUUGCAAAAGUUGCAACUGAGGUUGCAAAAGUUGCAACUGCAGUUGCAAAAGUUGCAACCUCAGUUGCAACUAAAUGCAACUGAAAACUGUAAGUAACAACAGAUGUAUGGUGUGCCCCUGGCGGGGCCGGUAGAUUACAAUAGAAUCAACUGAAUGCAACCAUAUGCAACUGAAUACAACCAUAUGCAACCAUAUAUGCAAUUACAAAUCCUGAUUUCAAGUUCCAGUUUUCGAAUGUCGUUUUCGACCUCAUUUUCGGAAUCGAUAUAUAUAUAUAUAUAUAUAUAUCUGUUCUGAUAUAAAGUCACUAUUCUCGUUAAAACUGCCUUUUGGUAGUUCUGAUAUAGUGACUCAAUAACUCAAUGAUUAAAGGCAGAAUUAAAUAGAUACUCUAGAAGCAAUGUAAAACACUUUUAUAUGAACGGUUUCAGAAAAAAGAUUAUUGAAAAUUUAGAUAUAAAACUGCUUUUACUACUCCCUUUGGUCACUAUGAAUGGAAUGUAGUUCCAUUUGGACUUAAAAAUGCCCCUAGUGAAUUCCAGAAUAUCAUGAAUAAUAUAUUUAACCCCUUUAGCCAUUUCUCAAUAGUAUAUGUAGAUGAUGUUCUUAUCUAUUCUAAUUCUAUUGAAGAACAUUGGAAACAUCUGAACUCUUUUUUCAAUACAAUUAAGACUAAUGGUCUAGUACUAUCACCAACUAAAUGUGUCUUAUUUCAGACAAAAGUAAGAUUUUUAGGUCAUACCAUUCAGUAUGGGAAAAUUAGACCAAUAGAUAGAUCAAUUGAAUUUGCUAGUAAAUUCCCAGAUGAAAUACUUGACAAAACCCAACUCCAAAGAUUUCUAGGAUCACUCAACUACAUAGGAGAAUUUUAUAAAGAUCUUAGGAAGCAAUGUAAACCAUUAUUCGAACGAUUGCAAAAUAAUCCCCCGCCUUGGACUUCUAUCCAUACUUCUAUUGUCCAAGAUAUUAAAAAAUAUGUUAAGACUCUUCCCUGUCUUGGCAUUGCUAAUCCUUCUGCAUUUAAAAUAGUAGAAACCGAUGCCUCUGAAGUUGGAUUUGGAGGUAUUCUUAAACAAAAAUUAAACCCUUCUUCACAUGAAGAAAUUGUUUGUUUUCAUUCAGGAGCUUGGGAUCAAACCCAACAAAAUUAUUCAACCAUUAAAAAAGAAAUUUUAAGCCUUGUCUUAUGCAUCAAUAAAUUCCAGCAUGAACUUUUAAAUCAAAAGUUUUUAGUCAGAAUUGAUUGCCAGUCAGCAAAAUUUAUUUUAGAAAAAGAUGUUCAAAAUAUUGCAUCAAAACAGAUUUUUGCCAGAUGGCAGGCUUUAUUAAGCAUAUUUGAUUUUGAUAUACAAUACAUUAAAGGAAGUGAAAAUUCUAUUCCAGAUUUUCUAACUAGAGAAUUUCUACAAACAGGAGUGAAAGAUGAGUGUGAGAGAUAACAAUAGCCAGGUUAUUAUAUAUAUAUAUAUAUAUAUAUCGAUUCCGAAAAUGAGGUCGAAAACGACAUUCGAAAACUGGAACUUGAAAUCAGGAAUUUGGUUGCAUAUGAAGUUGCAAAAGAGGUUGCAACACGGCUGGCGCCGCCUGGAGUUGCAGAUGAGGUUGCAAAAGUUGCAAACAGUAUUUUUGAAAAAAAGAUUUUAUGAAAAGGUAUUUUUAAAAAGAAUUCUGGAAGGUAGUAUUUUUGUAAAUAAUUAAAGAAAAGGUAGGUAGUUUUGUAGAUUUCCCUUAAUUUUUAUAGCUAACAAAUUUCAAAAAUAUAUAUUAUUUGCACAUACAUCUUCAGAACAUAUUACAUAAAUAAGCUGCUCCAGAGCUCUUCAUCCCAAACAUGACGAUGACUAGGAAAGAGAAAAAAAAAUUCCAGUUCACAUUUCGAACCUGCUGGACAAGUAAGUUUUCUUUUAAUUUUCAAACAUGGAUUAACUUCUUAUUCAUUCAUUUACUUUUGUGAUGUAAUUGGAUCAAAUUUUUUGUAUAUAAUCCCAUGUGAAGCAAACACAUGAAUUUAGCUCUAUACAUUUCAGGCCUGGUUCUCAUUUCUAUGUAUACAACUUGGAUAGUUUUAUGAUUAAUAUGCUCGAUAUGAUACCAUGAUUUGAUAUUGCGUUUGUUAAGUGUUUAAUAAAUGUUAUCCAAACUAAUUGCCUCUAGUUGGUCAUGAUGUAAUUCGAUAUUCAUAAGUUGUUUUUGAUAUCAAUAAUCAAAUUUGAGUCGAUAUGUGCAAGAGAUCGCUGUGAAUAUAUGCGUAACAGGUCACUGUGAAAUGUAAUAAGUGUGAGUGAAGUAUGUUUGAAUUUAUAACUCAAAUCCAAUGAUUUUAAUUGCUAAUUUAAGAAUGGAAUGGUACUGUUUAUGUCAAGUGUUCAUUUUCUUCGUAUAUGUGUACAACUUUAAUAACAUGUCUUAAUGCUAUGAAGUAUUAUACUAUUAUUCCACCAAGUCCAAGAGUAAUUCCUUUUCCUUAGAAUUUUCAAUAGCUUCCCGGGGGCGAAGAAGGCUUAUUAAUAUACAGAUUUUGUUAAGUAUCAGCUCAAUAGAAGUAGUCAGGUGUUAAGUAAAUUCCUUGUCAUCAUGUACAUACGGGGUUGUUCCAAAUUGUGCAACAUAGGACUAAACAGAACUUUUCCUUUGAGCUAAUUACCUUCAAGCGCAAGGUUCUCUUAUUUGCCAGAAGAAAAUAAUAAGAGUUCCUCGAUGAAAAAUUCCCAUGUCAUAAUCGAUUGCUCCACUCGUAAUGUUUGAAACCAAAUGUUCAAUCACUCUACAAUGUUGCAUAUAUAGGUUAAGCUGAGCCCAAAUGAUGUCAGUAUUAAUUAUGACACCCACAAGCGAAACACUAAUCAGAUUACAGGAAACCUUCCUAUUUCGGGGGUGGUGUAGGCAUACAGUGACUUAGAUCAGAUGAGUCAAUUUUGAACAUGAAAACAAAUAAGAUGGUAUUUUGUAGGCACUGGAUGUACGAUUAUGAAGUUUCACUUCCCUAACUCCACUGUUUGAUAUGUUUUUAAUCCAAAUAUCUAUAUCUGAAUAGAGAUGAAGUGGCAGAUCAUUAGGAUUGCAAAGAAUAAACUUCAAUAUGAGACCUCCAAGAGAUAAAAGAAUACUGCUGCCGGUUAUUGAAAAUUCAUAUAGUUUAGUUUCUCUACUUCUGAAAGGAAACCUCUGAGAAAACCGGUUGAAGAAAAGGUCAUCAAAAACUAGGUGUGAGUGUAUUUCCCAUUUACCCCUUCAUGUUUUUGAGAGAAUCCUCAUUCUUGCUACACAGUCAACCGGCAAUCACUUUUGAAUUAGGUCUAGUAAGUCACUGGGCAUGUCACUUUUGAAUUAGACCUUAUACCAAAGCGAUUGCCGGUUGACUGUGUAGCGAGAAUGUACAUUCUCUCAAAAACAUGGAGGGGUAAAUGGGAAAUGCACCCACACCUAGUUUUUGAUGACCUUUUUCUUCAACCGGCUUUCUCAGAGGUUUCCUUCCAGAAGUAGAGAAACCAAACUAUAUGAAUUUUGAAGAACCGUCAGCAGUAGUCUUUUAUCUCGUAGUGGUCUCAUAUUGAAGUUUUUUCUUUGCAUUCCUCAUGAUUUGUUUCUUCAUCUCUAUUUAGAUAUAGAUAUUUGGAUUAAAAACAUAACAAACAAUGGAGUUAAGGAAGUGCAACUUCAUAAUCGUACAUUGAGUGCCCACAAAAUACCAUCGUAUUUGUUUUCCUGUUCAGAGUUGACUCGUCUGAUUCUAAGUUGUAUGCUCACACCACCCCGGAAAUUGAAGACUUCCGUAAUCUGAUUACUGUUUUGAUUGUGGGUGUCAUAAUUACAACUGACAUAUCAUUUGGGGCUCAACUUACUGACCUACAUUUGCAAAGUUGCAUUGGGAUUGAACAUUUGAGAAUGGAAAGGCAUUUGUUUAUGUCAAGUGUUCAUUUUCUUCGUAUUUGUGUACAACUUUAAUAACAUGUCUUAAUGCUAUCAAGUAUUAUACUAUUAUUCCACCAAGUACAAGAGUAAUUCCUUUUCCUUAGAAUUUUCGAUGGCUUCCCGGGGGCGUAGAAGGCUUAUUAAUAUACAUAUUUUGUUAAGUAUCAGCUCAAUAGAAGUAGUCAGGUGUUAAGUAGAUUCCUUGUCAUCAUGUACAUACGGGGUUGUUCCAAAUUGUGCAACAUAGGACUCAAAAAAACUUUUUCUUUGAGCUAAUUACCUUCACGCGCAAGGUUCUCUUAUUUGCCAGAAGAAAAUGAUAAGAGUUCCUCGAUGAAAAAUUCCCAUGUCAUAAUCGAUUGCUCCACUCGUAAGGUUUGAAACCAAAUGUUCAAUCACACUACAAAGUUGCAUAUAUAGGUUAGUAAGUUGAGCCCAAAUGAUGUCAGUAUUAAUUAUGACACCCAUAUGCGAAACACUAAUCAGAUUAUAGGAAACCUUCAUAUUUCGGGGGUGGUGUAGGCAUACAGUGACUUAGAUCAGAUGAGUCAAUUUUGAACAUGAAAACAAAUAAGAUGGUAUUUUGUAGGCACUGGAUGUACGAUUAUGAAGUUUCACUUCCCUAACUCCACUGUUUGAUAUGUUUUUAAUCCAAAUAUCUAUAUCUGAAUAGAGAUGAAGUGGCAGAUCAUUAGGAUUGCAAAGAAUAAACUUCAAUAUGAGACCUACAAGAGAUAAAAGAAUACUGCUGCCGGUUAUUGAAAAUUCAUAUAGUUUGGUUUCUCUACUUCUGAAAGGAAGCCUCUGAGAAAGCCGGUCGAAGAAAAGGUCAUCAAAAACUAGGUGUGAGUGUAUUUCCCAUUUACCCUUCAUGUUUUUGAGAGAAUGCUCAUUCUUGCUACACAGUCAACCAGCAAUCACUUUUGAAUUAGGUCUAGUAAGUCACUGGGCAUGUCACUUUUGAAUUAGACAUUAUACCAAAGCGAUUGCCGGUUGACUGUGUAGCAAGAAUGUGCAUUCUCUCAAAAACAUGGAGGGGUAAAUGGGAAAUGCACCCACACCUAGUUUUGAUGACCUUUUCUUCAACCGGCUUUCUCAGAGGUUUCCUUCCAGAAGUAGAGAAACUAAACUAUAUGAAUUUUCAAGAACCGUCAGCAUUAGUCUUUUAUCUCGUAGUGGUCUCAUAUUGAAGUUUGCUCUUUGCAUUCCUCAUGAUUUGUUUCUUCAUCUCUAUUCAGAUAUAGAUAUUUGGAUUAAAAACGUAUCAAACGGUGGAGUUAGGGAAGUGAAACUUCAUAAUCGUACAUCCAGUGCCUACAAAAUACCAUCUUAUUUGUUUUCAUGUUCAGAAUUGACUCAUUUGAUUCUAAGUUGUUGUAUGCUCACACCACCCCGGAAAUUUGAAGACUUCCGUAAUCUGAUUACUGUUUUGCUUUUGGGUGUCAUAAUUACAAUUGACAUAUCAUUUGGGGCUCAACUUACUGACCUACAUUUGCAACGUUGCAUUGGGUUUGAACAUUUGGGUUGUCAAUAUAAAUAUUAUAUCAAUCUCACUUUUCUGAGUAUCACCCAUUGUGGGGAAAUUGAUUGGCUAUGGUUUAGAUGCACCCGAAAGGUGAUUGAUUUNGACUUGCGGUCCUCUCUGUAAGUGAUAAUCACAUUCCACCCACUCUGGCUUAGAUUCUGCCUUGUUUUUCUUUCACUUAUUCUCCAGCUAUAUUUGUUCCUACUUUCUCUUUAUUAAUCACGUCAUAACAAUGUCCUCAUAUUAUCUGUAAUAGCAUUGUAUUGUAUUGAGUCCUGAUCACAUUUGUGUUUUUUAUUAUAUCUAUCAAUAUAUAUAUUCUCUUCUUGUUUGUUCUCCUGGCUGGUAAGACAACUUCUCAAAUCUAUUUUUAAGGUUCACGGAUAUCCUUGCUCUCUUGAUAAUAAGAGGUCGAGGACUCAAGUUGGAGUAGUCAGGUGUGCAUGCCUAUUUAAAUUUCUGAAUUGACCUUACUAGAAAUAAGAAAAUUCGUCAAUAUAAUAUAUUGUUUCAUCAUUCGUGUACCAUACAUAUGUACACAUUAAAUUUUAUUAACAGAUUACGACGAAUGUCUACAAUAUAUCUCUUGGUAACAUAAUUCUGAUUGCAUACUAUAUAUCCUAAAAUAUGGUUAAGCACUACUAAAUGAAUUUUACAUGUUCACGAGUACUAUGCUCUUCUGUUAACCUUGUAUGUAGGAACCUGAUGCGAAGUGGUGGAAUGUUAUGCACUAGGUAGAAAGCUGGGAAUAUGGUGUCAUCGGUGACACAAUAUUUGCAAUCACUACACUUGAUUGGCAUGGCUUUUGACCAACUCGAAACUGUGGAAUUAUAUGGAGUGAAUCUUUCUUCUGAGCUUCAUUUCAUAAAGCUUUUGCUUGCAUCUUCUCCUUCGCUUAAAUUGAUGAGAAUUUAUAACAUGAUUCAUGACCGUGAAAAAAGCGUCGAGGGUGUCGCAAGAGUUGAUGAGGUUCCCCCGAGCAUCCACAACUGCAGAGAUUAUAUGGAAGUAACGAGUAGUAUUGAUAGGUUUGUUUUGGAAGUUAAUGUUGAACCAUAUGGACUCCUUGGGAUUGUUUAUUUUGUGGUUGCAGAAUCAGAGACCCCUUUUUGUGGCUCUUGAACGUGAGAUCUUUUUCUGGGUUUAUUAACUUCAAUUUCAAUGACAGCAAAGUUUUUGGUUUAUUUAUUUAUUUAUCUUUUCUGGGUUUUUCUUAAGUUUUUGGUUUAGAUGGCUUUCAUGUUUAGAGUCCCGUAAACUGUAGGCUACAUGUAGUCAUGGUUGCUUCUCUAUUUGACAAUCAUAUUUUAGGCGCUCUCUUGAGAGUUGUUAUUUGUCAUAUUUUCAUAGUUUAGCCCUGGCCGUCCCUUUCCCAGAAACUAAAAUACCUUGAACUAGAAGUCACUCUUGUUAUCGGUAGUCUGAGUGUUGCUCUGUUUGACCCCCCUGUCCUGAACUUUUUCUGAUCCUGGGUGUUGCUUUGUUCGCCCCCCAUUGUUACAAGCAUCAGGUCCUUAAGUAACAGGAAGUGCUUAUCUAAAAGCUGAACAUUUGUCCUCACUGAUGGAAGUUUCUCUCUUAGUAUGCUGUUUAUUCUGGAACAGUUAUAUAGAAUAGCACAUUUUCUGACAUUACUUUGAAAUUCUCUUAUCCUUUUCUUGGUAUGUGUAAACCCCUAUGGAAGUCUUUAUUAUUUUCACGAAACGGUUGAUUGCAGAAAUUUAAAUACUCUCUUUAAUUUUCAAAUACUGUGUGGCAAUCAAGCAUGUCAAAUACUGUGUGGUAAUUUUCGAUGAGUAUUCUCACGCACCUGUCUUGUCUUUAAUAAGAUUCAAAACCUCGACGUGAGAGAUUUCAUGAUACCAUCUGAUCAAGAGGUCUUAAUUCUUGAUCCAUGUUUUUUUUGUUUGCAAGUUGACUCAUCAUCUAUGUUACCCGGACUCGACUAAAAAUGUCCCAUAUUAAUGUGUUUAGUGUCGGAUUUAGUAAUAUUCUGAAAAUUUUAUACGUUUUUUCUAAAAUAAGUGUUGGAGUGGCCAUAUACAUGUUCGAGUGUUUACUUCUGAUAAAAUGAAGAGUUGGGGUAAUAUAGCUCCUGAUUUGGUUGUGUUGUUAUGGGAUUGAUAUAGGUGGAUGCAUUUACGGAGUCGGCGUUUAAGGGGAACCCUGCUGCUGUGUGUUUCCUAGAAGAGGAGAAAGAUGAGACAUGGUUACAAGCUGUUGCAACUGAGUUCAAUAUUUCUCAGACAUGUUUCUUGACUCGGAUUGCGGCUGACUCCGUUUCUACCAACCCUCUGUUUGGCCUCAGGUGGUUCACUCCUGUUGCUGAGGUCCUCUCUUUUUCUCUCCUUUUUUUGGGGAUAUUUUAUUAUUUGAUUUAAGGACUAUUGAGUAUUUAUGUUUUUUUCAGUUUUUUUUGUACUAAUUAAAUUAUUUUUUUGUACUAAUUAAAACAUACGUAAAUAAAGCAAAAAAGUAACAAAAUGCGGGUGGGUAAAGUAAAUAAACUUCAAAAUUAUAUUUAGGCUUCGUUUGUUUCACCAAAAAUAACUUAAUUUUAGAAAAUAUUUUCUUCGGGAGCUACUUUCCUAAAAGAAUGUUUUUUACAGAACAUAUUUGCCGUCCUAAACAAAUGUUUUAUGCUGAAAUUUUUGAGAAAAUUUUCUCGAGAAUUUUUCAUAAAUUUUUCUCGAGAAAUUUUAGGGAAAAUUUCCAACAAUUAUCCAUGAGAAAUAUUUUUCUAGAUAAUAUUUUCCCCUGUUCAAAUGUCGGAAAAACGUUUUUCUGGCAAACAAGCGAAGUCUAGCUUUUUUUAAAUGCAAGAAAAUAGUGUUUUAGCCUGAAAAUAUAUUUUCCCAUUCCGCUGUGCAAAUAUGUUUUGUUGGAAGAAAUUAUGAACUGCAUUUUGUUUGUUAAUAUGCAAUUAGCAGAAGUAACUAGUCAUAUACACUAAAAAAAAUUGUGAAUGACAUUAGAAUUAGUAAUUUCACUUAUGAUAGAAUAUAACAACUCUUACUUUGUUUACAAUUACAUUCGAUUUAUGUUAUCUCUAUAUAUCUUUUGCUGUCCUUAAUGUUUGUAGUGUAAUGGAUUGUUAAUAAUAUAAUCCUGAAAUUUCUGGAUUCAGGUCAGCAACCGACGAACUCGCAGGUGGAUAAAUGAUCGUCUGUUGAUGGAGCUUGUUCCUCGUUUGAAUGCAGAGGAAAUUAGAGGCUUGUUUGCGCCACCACCUUGGGGUAAGAGAAACCAUAUAGACUUUUUAUUGUGUUUAUGUUUUGAAGCUCAAUGCAUUUUUGAAAUUUGCUUAUUGCAUUUUAAAGACUAAAAACUUUGGUUUCAAACAGACUUGGCACGAAUCUUUUCUUAUGUUUCACUAUUGUUAUUUAUGUUUGAAGGUGAAACUGAAAGAAAUGAGAAGAGUGUCAUAGUCCCUCCUUUAAUGUAGUCUCAAACAUAAUUUUGAUGGGAGGUCAAUUUUACAGGUGAUGAGGUACCAGUUUCAGCAUUCUGCAUGACAAAUGGAGGGGAGUGGGACAAGUUCAGAAGUAUUGACAUGGACAAAGAGGUUUUUUACUUCUCUUACUUACUAUGUACUCUUAUUAUUUUAGUUUGUGCAUAAUUAUAUACAUGUAUAUAGAAUAUUUUCUAUAAAGGCUUUGCUGCAGUGCGGAUGCCAUUCAAAUGUUUGAUAUAGCAUAGGUNCAGUUUUUCUUAGGGUAAUUUAGUAAUAGCCACCGAGGGGUGAAGAGGGGGGCGGGGGUUAAAAAUCAUGGACAAAGAGGUUUAGGGUUUUUAUCGAUAAAAUGUGUUUCCUGCUUUCUAUUUUUCUAUUGAUUGGUUUGUGAUGUCUCUUUGCAAUUGUUGUGCUGAAGUGUUUUCCUUAAAGAGUAGUGGGAUGAAAAAAAGGUAAUUAAAGGUAAUAAAGCAUAACCAGUGGGAAUUUAUUGUAACAAUUUGGUCCCACAUUUAAUAGUAUGACUGUAUGUUUUGAUAAUACCUGGUUCCACAAAUCUAUAUCAUUGUUCUGGUCCAUAUACCAAGGAUGUAUACUGUUAUGUUAAUUCUGGGGUUCUCAAAAACUGGAGAUCGGAAAGAUUUUUUCAAGUUCUUUCAUUUCCCUUUUUCCCUCUGAUUAUGUACCGUAUCUGCGAAUAGUUUUUAUUGCUUCAGGACAUGUCAUCUGAACAUCUGAUGUAUAAAGGCGUGUGACAUCUUUUCAUCUGUUUAAUUUCUUGUUGACAGAUCAAAGUAAUCGAAACCCUUGGAGGCUCUUCUUCAAAAAAGAAAGGUCGUGUGGAUGUUGAUAAGAUGGCUGAUUUGGCUGCAUGGCACAGAGUAAACUGUCGCACUAGAGAAGCACUCCGACAUAGCUUCCUUGCCGAGCUAAUUGAGAGCUAUGAGGUAGUACUUUAUGUGAAAUGAGUUUAAUGAAAGAUGAUAAAUUCACUAUCAUGUGAACUUUUUCCUUUAUAUAUUAACUAGGAACCUUCUUCCUGUAUAUUUAUAUGUAUUUACAGAAGUCUUUUUUUUUUUUUUAUCUUCCUGUAUAUUUAUAUGUAUUUACAGAAGUCUUUUUUUUUUUUUUAUUUGACAGUAUUUACAGAAGUCUUAUUUUGAUUAACAAGAAGGGUAGACUAUAAUCUUUAUCUCUGAAGUAAUAAUUGCUUGUUCCUUUUUAUUGCAUUUUCUUAUCAUAUCUUACCUGUCUGUCACAAGGCAUGUGAUUGUCUAACUAAAACUUAUUGGAAAAACUUUUACUUAGUAUUGUUAUGUUUCAUAAUCAAGUCAACUUUCUAGUAUUAUGAAGAAACUUGUCCACUUGUUAUUUAUUAUAUUGUUCAUCUGAUAAUUUUUUUACAAAUUUAUGAUAUUUUGUUGCCUUUCCUAGUGUACCUUACGCAUCACCUCUUUGCAGGCAUGUCUGAGGGUUUUCAUUGAGGGUCUUGACGGAGAUGUUCUUGUGCUACAUGUUAAAGACCCUUUCCAUAGGAUGCUACUUCACGGUGUUUGUGAGGUAUAGCUCCUUGGAAUCUUGUAAAGUUGAGCUUCAACUAGAAUUUUGCUCAUCUAUAUAAAUUUGUUGACAUUUUACCUUCUCAUGGCACUGGUGGAUUCUAUUGAGUUUGCAGGACAUGCUAAUACAUGUAGUAGUAGAUACAAUGACCAAUCUUAUUAGUAUUGCUGAUAAUCUUAUCACCUGUAUUUUCCCAGUUCUAAGACUUGGUGUCUGUGACAGACACCGAAUCAGACACAGAGCCGAUGAAGCCCACAAAGAUCAAGAAAAAGAAAGCAGGCUCUGUCCAACCACCGAAAAUCACCCUCUGCAACUUCCUGAAAAUGGCAAAGGAAGGAAACUGGUAACUCCGUUUGCAGGGACUCGCAUACAUUAGUAGAUGGGUAGUAUAGAACCCAGUUAUCAUCAUAUCAAAUCGUCUUGUUUGUGAAAACAAAUCGUAAUGACUUAAUUAUCGUUUUAGGCCUUAGUGUGAUCUGUAACAUUAAUAGGUUGUUAAAAUUGCUGGCAAUCCUCUAGUAGUUGUUUCUACAUCUUUCCAAGAGCAGAUUAAAAAUGUCAGUGACAAAAUCAAUUCUCUGAUAAUGUUGUGCUUGAUAAAAUUUCCGUGUAAAAAUAAUUUAUAAAAGAAGCAUCAUAAAAGUGUAAAAUAUUAUUUUUGGUCCGAAAUGUUACUAUACAGUGGUAUCAAAUGCCAAAAGAAUAUUGAGUUUCGACACUUUAAGUUACUUAUACUCUAUUCUAUAUAGCAAAAAAUCGGUUCUUUUGACACUUUAAGUUACUUAUACUCGUUUUUAGAUAGCAAAAAAUCGGUGGGCGUUUGGUAACGCUUAAGCACUUCUGACUUCUUUUAGCACUUUUGUAACACUUUAAGUUACUUGUACUUUUGUAACACUUUAAGUUACUUAUUGAGUGAUCCGCAUUUUAUUAUGAAGUGUUUACAUUUUUAGAGUCAAGUUCUAUGGAGUACAAACAAUAUUGGAGUAUUGGAGUACAAGAUUCAUACAAUAUAAUCUAGUCAUCCAAAAUCUUCAUUUUUUGUGUUCUACAAUACUUGUAAACAUUCGACAACCUGCAGAUUAUGUUCUACAACAUAAACAUUGUAAUCAAAAGAUAGAACAGUUACUUUUAUAAAUCGUACGACAUUAUGUUCUGCAAUAUAACUUAUAAGCAGAACAACAAUCUUAAUGCUUGUUAAAGUUGAAAGAUAUUAAUGAUUAAUUGACAAUUAUGUUUAAUACUACAUAUAAAUGAUAAAUUAUAUAUAAAUCUGGAUAAUAAGAGUAAUUAUUUAUGAUUAAACUAAAAAAUUAUGAUUUGUACUCCAAUUUUCCAAUGUUUUUAAGUACUCCAUAUAACUUAACUCAACAUUUUUAAUAUAUAAUAAACUUUAUUUAUUAAUAAAACAUUUUUUAUUUUAAUAAUUUGAAUUUUUUUAAUUUAUAAAUUUAAAAUUAUCAAACACUCAAUUGACUUAUAAGUAAAAGUUAUCCACACAUUUUAAGAACUUUUAAGUAAGGUCAUUUAUCAUUUAUAAUCCACUUCUUUACUUUUAGCAAUUAGAAAUAAGUUAUUUUUUCUAAGUUAAGUCAAACGACCCCUUAGUCUCAAAAGCAUUCCAUAUACCAAAAUUUUUAUAAUUAGUAAAAGAAUAUCCAAAAUAUCAUUUAUUGUUUAAGACCUCGUAUUUGUGAAAGACUGUCCAAAAUAUUAUUAUUUAUUAAAGUCGGAUAAUCAAGCGUUUUGAAUUUUAGGAAGCGUAUUCAACCGAGAUUUUAUCAUAUUGUUUUUUAUUUGUGAAUUUAAAUGAAUUAUAUAUAUAUAUAUAUAUAAUUUUUAGGGAAAUCUACAAAACUACCUACCUUUUCUUUUAUUGUUUUCAAAAAUACUACCUUCCAGAAUUUUUUUUAAAAAUACCUUUUCAUAAAAUCUUUUUUUCAAAAAUACUGUUUGCAACUUUUGCAACCUCAUCUGCAACUCCAGGCGGCGCCAGCCGUGUUGCAACCUCUUUUGCAACUUCAUAUGCAACCGAAUUAUAUAUAUAUAUAUAUAUAUAUAUAGACAAAAGUUAUAUGGAGUCUUAUAAAUUUUGGAGUCCUUGGAGUCCCAAUCUGGGCCCUCCAUCUUGUGUAACAUCCAAUGGCUGUUAUGUUUUUUGGAUUAAUCUUUUCUUUUUAGUUUUUUAUUUUUUUAAAAACCAACCGUGCAUUUUUUGAACAGGCGUGCGUAUGUUAUCCGGCAGUUGCAACUGCCUCAGAGUGUUUCCAGGAGAUGUAGAGAGAAGUGUCCUGCACCUACGAAAUAAUUUUUUUUUUCAUUUUUUCAUUUUUUGUUCUUUCAUACGCGGGAGGCAAUAUCUUUAAUAUCGAGAUCAAUCUGUGUAAAGUGUAUAAUAAGAAGGCCCAAUCAAAUAAGUUUUGUAGUUUUUUUAAUGCAUCUUGUGUUCAUUUUAGGUCCUGUAUUGCAAGGUCUAUUGUGCAUACGAUUUCUGUGCAGGACAUGUUUAUGGUUAAUGUAUUUGUCUUGCGUAUCAUCAUUACAAAGUAAUGGUUGUCUUUUCAUUCUGCACAUGUUCUUGGUUACCAGAGCUGUCAAAACCCUCUCGAGGAGUCACAAAAUCAUCAUCCUCUUCGUCAGGAACGCUCGCACGCAUCUUAUCUACAUCCAUCCUUUCAUUACAUAUGUCCAAUCUAGGCACUGGUGUCGACACCUCUCCUUGAGAUUUGUCAAACACGCUUCCACUUACGUUUUUUCUCAGCAAAGUACCGUCUGACACAAUUCUUGCAGGCAUGCAAUUAUAGCCGUCAUCAUCAAUGGUUAUGUAUCCUGGUUUCUUCUUAGUCCAAUUGUAUACCCACGGGCUUUCGAUUAGUCUACUGCUUCUCCUUCGACCUAAGCACACGAGGAAUAAUAGCUUAUUAAGCACACGAGGAAUAAUAGAUUAUUAUACAAUUAAGAUACUAGAAUAUUACACACGAUGCAAAACAACUAAUUAUACAAUGUUCAGGACACUUAAAAAAAUCCAAACUCCGAUUAAAGAUUCCAAGAUACUGGUCUGUUAGAAACUGGAAGGACACGUUAAAAACAAGAAUCACUGAUAGCCCAAAAACACAACAAAUGCCUAAUCACUUAUUAUGCAACAUCAAGAUGAAAUUAGUAAUUAACAGAGUGCAAAACUAAACCAAAAAAAAUGUAUAUACUACAAUAGCAGUAGCAAUGUUCGUUCACAUAUGACGCAAAUGCAGGAUCAAAAUGAAUACAGAGUGCAGGACUCAUCAACAAAUAUUCUAUAAUAUUACCAAAUUCUUAAUCUAGAAUAUUAAAAGCAUAGGGAAACAUUGGCAAGCGUUAAUUUAGCUACUCUACUUGAUUUUAGUGUUAUUUACUGUUCACCUUGUCUUACUAAAGAAACACUCUGUAAAAGGACAAAAGAAAUCCUUUCAUGGACUUCCAAAAAAAAGAGUUUAAAAUCAAGAAAUGUAGACUCUCUCACAAUGCACUCUAUUAAGGUAUCCUGUAAACAUCUGGUCCAAGAUUUUGGUUCAACUUCAUAUGAGUACAUUAACAUAAAGCACCAAAACACAUAUGCCGUCCCUUGCACACUGCUUUCUGUUCACUACACUUUGCAGGACCUAACAAUUAAUUAUCUUCAAACAAGAAAAUUAAGCAGAUGCAGGACACAUAAAAAGGUCACAAACCACAAACUCCUUCUGAUUAGAACAGGAGAAUCAACGUUCAUGGCUGAAAUACCUUUAAUGUUGUCAUGCUAUAGGUCUUCAAGUCUUAAGGAACUGAUUGAAGCAUCGAAAAGACAACAGUACAUUGUGAUUCUAGGAAGAAGAGGGGGAAACUGGACAGAUAACACCAGGGUGAAAGGGGGAAAUGAUAAGGUGUAAUCUCAUCAUUUAGGAUUUAUCUGUUGUACUCAACAACUUUUCAUUUAAGAACUGGUUAUUUAGCGAUUAAGGAAUGGUCAAAUAUUAUUCUAGUACAUUGCCAAAAAACAGGUUAUAAGAUACUCUUUAAAAACAUCCUGGAUACAAAAUUUCUACGUACCUUUUCAUGUUUCAAAAGACAAAAAAAAUUGCAAAUCAAAUUACAAGGGACAACCUUAUCCAAUCUGUAGUUUUUCAUGUUUUCAGCUGUCUCUCGAUCAUUUACAAACUCUGAUAAGUUACUCCUAUUACUAACAUAGCCCCAACCAAAAAAAUCCAAAGAAAUGCAAGACAACCCAGUCAAUUGGGAACCCAUACAAUCACAUAUUAUGCAACUGCAAGAUAAAAAUAACAACCAAAUGCAGGACACCUAACAACUAAUUAUCUUCAAAUAAGAAAAUUAAAAAGAUGCAGGACACAUAACUACAGGAUCAAUCGCACAACUAAACCACAAAAUGCAUUUACAAUGUCAAGAAUGUACUGCACACCAAAAGCCCCAAAUUCAAUCGAAUCAGUUAUUGCACACAACUGGUGUAAUAUGCCGAGUUUGAACACACACAAAUUACGAUUUCUAAAAAAGCCCCUAAAAAACACGGAGAGCCAACAAUUCAAUGGGGCUACCGGCAAAUGGAGGAGAACCCAUUCAUUCGGGAUGCCGUAUUUCAUAGAAUCAGUGUUUUCAGCGGCAAGAACAACGACAUGCAAAGCAAUUGAAGGACAUAAUGAGAAGAUAGUGGCAUACCUGAACUCAUCUUCGAAAGAAAUUGAAGCGUCCUGCAAAAGCCCUAACUGGUGGUUGUGCUUAGUGUAUACGGUUCUGCAGCUUGGUUAUACACAGCGAAAAUCGGGGAUUAGGUGGUAACGGCCGUGCUAGUGUUAACCACCGGAGGAUGCAGGAUAGAAACUCUGAAGAAACGUGUGCGAAAGUGAAGUUGAAAAAUGGUUUAAAAUUGUCAGCGGUUUAUUUGAUCAUUAAAUCAGAGCCACAGGAUCUUUUUAAAAUCCAACGGUGGAUCUUAGGGACUCCAAAUAAUAUAUAUAUAUAUAUAUAUAUAUAUAUAUAUAUAUAUAUAGCAUACGGUUGUAUUCAGUUGCAUAUGGUUGUAUUCAGUUGAUUAUAUUGUAAUCUAAUGGCCCCGCCAGGGGCACACCAUACAUCUGUUGUUACUUACAGUUUUCAGUUGCAUUUAGUUGCAACUGAGGUUGCAAAUGAAGUUGCAAAAGUUGCAACUGCAGUUGCAACUUCAUUUGCAACCUCAUUUGCAACUUUUGCAACCUCAUUUGCAACUUUUGCAACUUACAGUUUUCAGUUGAACUAGUUGCAAUUGCAGUUGCAACUGUUGCAACUUUCCAUUUUUAUUUGCAACUUUUGCAACCUCAUUUGCAACUUUUGCAACCUCAUUUCCAUUUUUAUUUGCAACUUUUGCAACCUCAUUUGCAACUUUUACGGCUGCGCCGCCCAAGGUUGCAAAUGAGGUUGCAAAGGUUGCAAAUCGUAUUUUUGAAAAAAAAAUUUUAUGAAAAGGUAUUUUUAAAAACAAUGAAAAAGAUGGUAGUAUUUUUAAAAAAAUAAUUUUACAGAUGGGUAUUUUUAAAAAGAUCCCUAAUUUAUAUAUAUAUAUAUAUAUAGACUUUGUGCGGAUUUUUGAUAAAGUAUUAUAGGGUUGAUAUAAAUUUCUUAGAAUUUAAACAUAAUGUUUCAAAAAUCUAAAAAUCUCAUGAAUUUUGGUGGGAUUUCAAAAAACUGAAAAUACACUGAACAGUCUCACAAAAUCCAUCAUUUUACAAAGUCCAAAAAAACCUAUCAUAAUUUGAAUACUAACAUAUUUUAAUUGAUUUUAAACAAUUACAAUUGAGUACUAUCAGAUUUUCAAUAUAGUUUAAGAUCCUCGUUGAAUACGGCCAGAUUUUAUAGCCUAACUUAAAAUCCCAGUUCAUUUUUUAAUAUUAUUUAAUAUGAUAAUUAUAUGAUACUUUUUGUAAUAUUAUUAUUUACAUAUAUAUAUACACAAAAUUAUACAAAUAUACAGAGAAAACACUCAUUUGAUCUAAAAUAAAUAAAAAUAUCUCAACCAUAAGUGUAAUAAGAUAAAAAACAUUAUAUUUAAUUUGAUAAUAUAGGUGUAAUAAAAUAAAAUAUUAUAUACAAUCUCGAGGUUGCGAAAUAGUUAUAACUGACAACGCAUUUAAAAUCCACUUUUUUAUCCUUUAUAAAAACAAAUAUCCCUUCUACAUUUUUCAACUGGGUCAGAGAAAUACUGUAAGAGAGAACUCUACUUUUCUACCUAUAUUUUAAAAUAUUUUAAUGUAUAUUCAUAAAUUUUAAUCUUCAACUUUUUUAGAUAAUAUAUUAAUUUAAUAUUUCAAAAAAAAUAUUGAGAUUUUAACAUAUUUUGCCUACCGGACCAAACAAUACUUUAAAUAUCUCUAAUUUAUUAGAAACUCCUUUAAUAAUUUUUACAAAAUAAUUUAAGAACUUUUUAAUAAAUAAGAUAUAAAUAAUUAAAAAAAUUUAUAUUUUCAUUAUUUAGUAGUAAGUAUUUAUUUAUGAAAAUAAAUUUAGCUGAGGAACAUAUUUUUUUCCUCUUUUCCUUAACCUAAACUCUAAUAAAACUCCUUAAGAUCCUAGCCCAAACCCAUGUAAGUUAUGAAUUAAACAAUUAAACCUUAACCUAAGCUUAUGUAAGCUAUCAAUUAAACAAUUAAAUACCCUCUAAUAAAACUCUUUAUUAUUCUAACCCAAGCCCAUAUAAGUUAUUAAUUAAAAUGCUCUAAUAAAAUUCUUUAAAAUCCUAACCCAAGCCCAUGUAAGCUAUGAAUUAAACUAUUAAACGCGCUCUACCUGCUCGUUAAAAUCAUAGCCCAAGCCCAUGUAAGUUACUAAUAAAACUCUUCGAAACCCUAGCCCAAGCCAAUGUAACUUAUGAAUUAAACAAUUACAUGCCGGUUAAAACCCUAGCCCAAGCCCAUAUAAGUUACUAAUAAAACUCCUCGAAACCCUAGCCCAUGUAACUUAUGAAUUAAACAAUACAUUUCAAUUCAAACUCGUGAUAUUUACGCCGUUUUCUCAAAUUCCUGCGGCGGCUACUAUUCUGUAUAGCAAAACCUUUUUCUUGAUUAAAAUUCAACCCAUGACGAAGAAGCAAGUGAAGUACUGUGUGGUAAUCUCAUUCUGUUAUUUAUAUAUGCAUCAUUUUGUUUUUAACACACACAGAGUGAUGAUUUGCUAAAAAGAUUGAAUUUUUCAGGUGGAUGCAUUCACAGAAUCAGCGUUCAAGGGAAACCCAACUGCAGUUCAAUUGGUGGCCACUGAGUUCAAUCUCUCUGAAAUACAUGUUUCUUGACUAGGAUUGACUUGGAUUCGGCUAAUCCCAGGUUUCACUCCUGUUGCUGAGGUUCACUUGCUUUUGAUUCUACUUAUUUUUUGGGUUUUUAUGGUUCCCCCGGUGUUCAAUUUUGGACAUGUGUAUUGGGUUUGUGUAAAGAUUUGAUCUUUUUGGUGGUAGUGGUCUUGAAUUGAAUUUGUUUAUUGGUCUUGUGUAGUGGGUUUGUGUAAAGAUUUGAUCUUUUUGGUGUAGCAGUCUUGAAUUUGAUUGGGGCAAAACAAAGUUGAUUUGGACAUUCAACGGGACGUAAUAACGAAUAUGUCUGAUAUGCAUAUUAAACCCCUUUGUUGCCAAGGUUCAGUUACUAUUGAGUCUUGUUCAUUGUUUUAGUUUUUCUGAUGCACACACUGGUUUCAUAUUUGAUCCAUUUGGAGCUUGUUCAUUAAUCUCGCUAUUCUACUUUGUGACGUAGUAUUUUGUGAAUUCAGGCAUCAACUAGAGGUGGCAUCAUAAAAUUACAUCUAGAUGAGAGGAAUCAAGGGUAAUGCUCCAAAGGAAAGUUGUUAUUGUGAUGGAAGGUUCUCUCCUAGUUUAAAUAUGGAGGUAUUCCUAGAAACUUGAGAUCAUUAUAUUGUAUCUGUAGCAAUUUACUUAACAAGUUUUUUACCAUUUGCUACAGAUAUUUUUGAUGAACACUACUUUCUUAAAUGUGUUGUUGAUAUGCAUUUCGUGCUAAUGAUUAUUGAUAAGUAGUACUUUUAUAGUUCUCUUCGAUAGAUUGCUUGCAAUUAUCUAGUUGAUUAAUUAAUGCAGCUGUGUUCACUCUUCCGAGUCACUCGAACUAAAAUGAGUUGGUAAAGUGAGUAUUUAUGAGUCAUUUUAUUCAACAUGUUCAAUAUAUCUAUUGUGAAGUAUUAUGCAAAGUAUGGAAAUUCGUAAAUAAUAUUGGCAAAAUUGUGCCAAUAUUAUUUAGAGCACUUAACUUCACUUACGACCGAAAGAAAAGCCGUUGGUGACUAUAUUCUUGCCAAAAUUCAUAUAUAGUUGCUGAUUGUAUACUAGUUUUUAGAAUAUCAAUUGAUAUUAAUUUUAAAUUAUAUUCAAUAAUUGGCAUUUCAUUUAAAAUGAUAAGUAUAAUUUUGAUUGGGAUGACUGAAUAUUUUCGAUAUUUAUGACUAUUAUAAUUUGGAAGGUUAAUUUUGAAUAGUUAGAAAUGAUUUCAAGAAUUUAUUCCUGUAGUUUAUGUAAUAUGUGUCAAUUCCUUUUUAUGUAUAUUAAGACGUAUGUCAAAUGUUAUUAUAUAAAAGUUUUCGUAUUAUUAUAUUUUGGUAGUUAAUCUUUAUAGCAAACAAAUUUCAAAUAUGUAUAUUAUUUACACAUACAUAUUCAGAAGAUAUUAAAAUAACAAGUAAGCUGCUCCAGAGCUCUUAACCCCAAACAUGACGACUAGGAAAGAGCAAAAUAAAUAUUUCAGUCCACAUUUCGAACCUGCUGGACAAGUAAAUUUUCUUUUAAUUUUGAAACAUGGAUUAAGUUCUUAUAAGUUCUUAUUCAUUUACUUUUGUGAUGUAAUUGGAUCGAUUUUUUUGUAUAUUAUACCAUGUGAAGCAAACACAUGAAUUUAGCUUUAAACAUUUCAGGCCUGGUUCUCAUUUCUAUGUAUACAGGUUGGAUAGUUUUAUAAUUAAUAUGCUCUAUAUGAUAUCAUGAUUUGAUAUUGUGUUUGUUUGAUGUUUAAUAAAUGUUAUCCAAACUAAUCGCCUCUAGUUGGUAAUGAUGUAAUUCGAUACUCAUAAGUUGUUUUUGAUAUCAAUAAUCAAAUUUGUUUAGAUAUGUGCAAUAGAUCACUGUGAAUAUAUGAGUAACAGGUUGUGUAGUGUAAUAAGUGUGAGUGAAGAAUCUUUGAAUUUAUAACUUAAAUCCAUUGAUUUUAAUUGCUAAGUUGAGAAUGGAAUGGUACUGUUUAUGUCAAGUGUUCAUUUCUUCUUAUUUGUGUACAACUUUAAUAACAUGUCAGAAUGCUAUUAAGUAUUAUUCCACCAGUGCAAGAGUAAUUCCUUUUCCUUAGAAUUUUUGAUAGCUUCCUGGGGCGUAGAAAGCUUAUUCAUGUACAGAGUUUGUUAAGUAUCAGCUCAAUAGAGGUAGUUAGGAGUUAAAGUAAAUGCCUUGUCAUCAUGUAAUUACGGGGUUGUUGAAAUUGUGCAAGAUAGGACUUAAAAGAACUGUUUCUUUGAGCUAAUUACGUGCACCCACAAGGUUCCCUUAAUUGCCAGAAGAAAAACAUAAUAAGAGUUGCUCGAUGAAAAAUUCCCAUGUUAUAACCGAUUGCUUUGCUCGUAAGGUUUGAAACCAAAUGUCCUAUCCUAGUGCAAUGUUGCAUAUAUAGGACAGUAAGUUGAGCCCCAAAUAAUAUAUGUCAGUAUUAGUUAUGACACCCACAAGCGAAACACUAAUCAGAUUACGGAAACCUUUAUAUUCCGGGGGUGGUGUAGGCAUACAGUGACUAGACUCAGAUGAGUCAACUCUGAACAGGAAAACAAAUAAGAUUGUAUUUUGUAGGCACUGGAUGUACGAUUAUGAAGUUCCAGUUCCCUAACUCCGGUGUUUGAUAUGUUUUCAACCCAAAUAUCUAUAUCUGAAUAGAGAUAAAGAGGCAGAUCAUUAGGAAUGCAAAGAAUAAACUCUAAUAUGAGACCAUUACGAGAUAAAAGAAUACUGCUGACAGUUCUUGAAAAUUCAUAUAGUUUAGUUUCUCUACUUCUGAAAGGAAACUUUUGAGAAAGCCGGUUGAAGAAAAGGUUAUCAAAAACUAGGUGUGUGUGCAUUUCCCAUUUACCCCUCCAUGUUUUUGAGAGUAUGCUCAUUCUUGUUACAUAUCAACUAGUAAUCGCUUUUGAAUAAGGUCUAGUAAGUCACUAGGCAUGUCACUAAUAAUAUCAACCGCGUCUUCACAAUCAAGCCGUCUUGUGUUAGCAUUACUAGUCAUAUAUCUGAAUAUUAGAAGAAGUAAGAACUAAACUGAAAAGAUUUACAAACAAUAAUACUAUAAUAUAAAUAUAAUUAAGUAUAUUUGUAGUGGUCAACUGGGUAGCAGCAAUUAAUCAAAUUUAUCGUAGCACACAAUUUAAAGAACAUUUAUCCAUAAGAGCCAUAUAUCAUAUAUGUAAAUAAUUCAACUAAGCCAUUAUCACAUUUGGAAAAAAGUGGCAAAAUCAUUUUCGUAUAUAUUAGCGAAAGUUUAACAGUUAAUUAAAACCCCUAAAUCAAAGAUAGAAAAAGAUCAUGUGAGAUAUCAACAUACAUAAAAACAUUGAUUUAUUCAAAAAGUUGAUGAUUCAUAUAUAUAUAUAUAUAUACACACAUACAUAUAUUUAAACAUAUAUAUAUUUGAUACAUGUAUUGGUGGGAGUGAGACAUUAUGAGUGUGGCGGAAUGAGGAAAGAAAUGUGAGGAUUAGUGAUACAACCCUAAUUCUUAAUUAUGUAAUCUGUAUAACGAUGUCGUGUAAUCAGUUGACUGCAAGAUAUUUGCAUAUGCUAGAAAACCGUAUCGUAUGGAACAGAACAUUCUAAAAUGGCUAAACACAACACUGUUUAAGGAUAAUAUUUACAAAUCAUUUUUAUUUAUUUAUUUCCAUUUUAGGGGCAGUAUGUUGAUACUCGUGUACAGGGAAACAACUAUCAACAUAUGUAGACAUUCCCCUGCCUAAAUAACAACCUGCCUCGAAAAUGGAAAUAAAUAUAAAAAGAAAUGUUUUGUAGAUGUUAUCCUUAAAUGAUGUCGUGUUUAGCCAUUCUAGAAUGUUCUUUUUCAUAUGAUGCCGUUUUCUAGCAUAUGCAAAUAUUUUGCAGUCAAAUGAUUACAGGACGUCGUUAUAGAGAUUACAUAAUUAAGAAUUAGGAUUGUAUCGCUAAUUCUCACAUUCUUUCCUUACUCCGCCGCGCUUAUGUUGUCUCACUCCCAGCAAAGGUAUCAAAUGUUUAUAUAUAUUUAUGUGUGUGUGCGUGUAUUUGAAUCAUUGUUUUUUUGAAUAUAUCAAUGUCUUUAUGUAUGUUGAUAUCUCACAUAAUAUUUUUUUCCAUUUUUGCUAUGGGUUUUAAUUAAUUGUUGAACUUUCGCUAAUAUAUAUGAAAAUGGUUUUGGCACUUUUUUCCAUAUGUGUUAAUGGUUUAGUUGAAUUGUUUACAUACUCGGCUGUGAUGCAUAAAUGUUCAUUAAUAUCAGUACUAUGAUAAGUUCGAUUAAUUGUGACUACCUAGUUGGUCACUAUAUAUUGUAGUAUUACUGUUUGUAAAAUUCUUUUCAGUUUGAUUCUUACUUCUUUUAAGUAUUCAGAGAUAAGGCCAGUGAUGCUAACACAAGGCGGCUUGAUUGUGGAGACGCAGUUGAUAUUGUCAGUGACUUGCCCGGUGACUUAUUAGACCUUAUUCUAAAGCGAUUGCCGGUUGACUGUGUAGGAAGAAUGUGCAUUCUCUCAAAAACAUGGAGGGUGAAAUGGGAAAUGCACCCACACCUAGUUUUUGAUGACCUUUUCUUCAACCGGCUUUCUUAGAGGUUUCCUUCCAGAAGUAGAGAAACUAAACUAUAUGAAUUUUCAAAAACUGUCAGCAGUAGUCUUUUAUCUCGUAGUGGUCUCAUAUUGAAGUUUGUUCUUUGCAUUCCUCAUGAUUUGUUUCUUCAUCUCUAAUUAGAUAUAGAUAUUUGGAUUAAAAACAUAACAAACAAUGGAGUUAGGGAAGUGCAACUUCAUAAUCGUACAUUGAGUGCCUACAAAAUACCAUCUUAUUUGUUUUCCUGUUCAGAGUUGACUCAUUUGUUUCUAAGUUGUUGUAUGCUCACACCACCCCGGAAAUUUGAAUACUUUUUUAAUCUGAUUACUGUUUUGCUUGUGGGUGUCUUAAUUACAACUGACAUUUCAUUUGGGGCUCAACUUACUGACCUACAUUUGCAACGUUGCAUUGGGAUUGAACAUUUGGGAUGUCAAUAUUAAUAUUAUAUCAAUCUCACUUUUCUGAGUAUUAGCCAUUGUGAUGUAAUUGGAUCAAAUUUCUUGUAUAUAAUCCCAUGUGAAGCAAACACAUGAAUUUAGCUCUAUACAUUUCAGGCCUGGUUCUCAUUUCUAUGUAUACAACUUGGAUAGUUUUAUGAUUAAUAUGCUGGAUAUGAUACCAUGAUUUGAUAUUGCGUUUGUUGGAUGUUUAAUAAAUGUUAUCCAAACUAAUUGCCUCUAGUUGGUAAUGAUGUAAUUCGAUUUUCAUAGGUUGUUUUUGAUAUCAAUAAUCAAAUUUUUUAGAUAUGUGCAACAGAUCACUGUGAAUAUAUGCGUAACAGGUCACUGUGUAGUGUAAUAAGUGUGAGUGAAGUAUGUUUGAAUUUAUAACUCAAAUCCAAUGAUUUAAUUGCUAAUUUGAGAAUGGAAUGGUAGUGUUUAUGUCAAGUGUUCAUUUUCUUCUUAUUUGUGUACAACUUUAAUAACAUGUCAUAAUGCUAUUAAGUAUUAUUCCACCAGUCCAAGAGUAAUUCCUUUUCCUUAGAAUUUUCGAUAGCUUCUCGGGGGCGUAGAAGGCUUAUUAAUAUACAGAUUUUGUUAAGUAUAAGCUCAAUAGAAGUAGUCCGGUGUUAAGUAAAUUCCUUGUCAUCAUGUACAUACGGGGUUGUUCCAAAUUGUGCAACAUAGGACUAAAAAGAACUUUUUCUUUGAGGUAAUUACCUUCACGCACAAGGUUCUCUUAUUUGCCAGAAGAAAAUAAUAAGAGUUCCUUGAUGAAAAAUUCCCAUGUCAUAAUCGAUUGCUCCGCUCGUAAGGUUUGAAACCAAAUGUUCAAUCACUACAACGUUGCAUAUAUAGGUUAGUAAGUUGAGCCCAAAUGAUGUCGGUAUUAACUAUGACACCCACAAGCGGAACACUAUUCAGAUUACGGAAACCUUCAUAUUUCGGGGGUGGUGUAGGCAUACAGUGACUUAGAUCAGAUGAGUCAAUUCUGAACAUGAAAACAAAUAAGAUGGUAUUUUGUAGGCACUGGUUGUACGAUUGUGAAGUUUCACUUCCCUAACUCCACAGUUUGAUAUGUUUUUAAUCCAAAUAUCUAUAUCUGAAUAGAGAUGAAGAGGCAGAUCAUUAGGAUUGCAAAGAAUAAACUUCAAUAUGAGACCUCCACAAGAUAAAAGAAUACUGCUGCCGGUUAUUGAAAAUUCAUAUAGUUUAGUUUCUCUAAUUCUGAAAGGAAACCUCUGAGAAAGCCGGUUGAAGAAAAGGUCAUCAAAAACUAGGUGUGAGUGCAUUUCCCAUAUACCCCUUUAUGUUUUUGAGAGAAUGCUCAUUCUUGCUACACAGUCAACCGGCAAUCACUUUUGAAUUAGGUCUAGUAAGUCACUGGGCAUGUCACUUUUGAAUUAGACCUUAUUCUAUAGCGAUUGCCGGUUGACUGUAUUGCAAGAAUGUGCAUUCUCUCAAAAACAUGGAGGGGUAAAUGAGAAAUGGACCCACACCUAGUUUUUGAUGACCUUUUCUUCAACCGGCUUUCUUAGAGGUUUCCUUCCAGAAGUAGAGAAACUAAACUAUAUGAAUUUUCAAGAACCGUCAGCAGUAGUCUUUUAUCUCGUAGUGGUAUCAUAUUGAAGUUUGUUCUUUGCAUUCCUCAUGAUUUGAUUCUUCAUCUCUAUUUAGAUAUAGUUAUUUGGAUUAAAAACAUAACAAACAAUGGAGUUAGGGAAGUGCAACGUCAUAAUCGUACUUUGGCUGCCUACAAAAUACCAUCUUAUUUGUUUUCCUGUUCAGAGUUGACUCAUUUGUUUCUAAGUUGUAUGCUAACACCACCCCGGAAAUUUGAAGACUUCCGUAAUCUGAUUACUGUUUUGCUUGUGGGUGUCAUAAUUACAACUGACAUUUCAUUUGGGGCUCAACUUGUUGACCUACAUUUGCAACGUUGCAUUGGGAUUGAACUUUUGGGAUGUCAAUAUAAAUAUUAUAUCAAUCUCACUUUUCUGAGUAUUAGCCAUUGUGAUGUAAUUGGAUCAAAUUUCUUGUAUAUAAUCCCAUGUGAAGCAAACACACGAAUUUAGCUCUAUACAUUUCAGGCCUGGUUCUCAUUUCUAUGUAUACAACUUGGAUAGUUUUAUGAUUAAUAUGCUCGAUAUGAUUUUAAUAAAUGUUAUCCAAACUAAUUGCCUCUAGUUGGUAAUGAUGUAAUUCGAUUUUCAUAGGUAGUUUUUGAUAUCAAUAAUCAAAUUUUUUAGAUAUGUGCAAUAGAUCACUGUGAAUAUAUGCGUAACAGGUCACUGUGAAGUGUAAUAAGUGUGGUGAAGUAUGUUUGAAUUUAUAACUCAAAUCCAAUGAUUUAAUUGCUAAUUUGAGAAUGGAAUGGUACUGUUUAUGUCAAGUGUUCAUUUUCUUCUUAUUUGUGUACAACUUUAAUAACAUGUCAGAAUGCUAUUAAGUAUUAUUCCACCGGUCCAAGAGUAUUUCCUUUUCCUUAGAAUUUUCGAUAGCUUCCCGGGGGCGUAGAAGGCUUAUUAAUAUACAGAUUUUGUUAAGCAUAAGCUCAAUAGAAGUAGUUGGGUGUUGAGUAAAUUCCUUGUCAUCAUGUACAUACGGGGUUGUUCCUAAUUGUGCAACAUAGGACUAAAAAGAACUUUUUCUUUGAGGUAAUUACCUUCACGCACAAGGUUCUCUUAUUUGCCAGAAGAAAAUAAUAAGAGUUCCGCGAUGAAAAAUUCCCAUGUCAUAAUUGAUUGCUCCGCUCGUAAGGUUUGAAAUCAAAUGUUCAAUCACACUACAACGUUGCCAAUAUAGGUUAGUAAGUUGAGCCCAAAUGAUGUCAGUAUUAACUAUGACACCCACAAGCGGAACACUAUUCAGAUUACGGAAACCUUCAUAUUUCGGGGGUGGUGUAGGCAUACAGUGACUUAGAUCAGAUGAGUCAAUUCUGAACAUGAAAACAAAUAAGAUGGUAUUUUGUAGGCACUGGUUGUACGAUUGUGAAGUUUCACUUCCCUAACUCCACAGUUUGAUAUGUUUUUAAUCCAAAUAUCUAUAUCUGAAUAGAGAUGAAGAGGCAGAUCAUUAGGAUUGCAAAGAAUAAACUUCAAUAUGAGACCUCCACAAGAUAAAAGAAUACUGCUGCCGGUUAUUGAAAAUUCAUAUAGUUUAGUUUCUCUAAUUCUGAAAGGAAACCUCUGAGAAAGCCGGUUGAAGAAAAGGUCAUCAAAAACUAGGUGUGAGUGCAUUUCCCAUAUACCCCUCUAUGUUUUUGAGAGAAUGCUCAUUCUUGCUACACAGUCAACCGGCAAUCACUUUUGAAUUAGGUAUAGUAAGUCACAGGGCAUGUCACUUUUGAAUUAGACCUUAUUCUAUAGCGAUUGCCGGUUGACUGUAUUGCAAGAAUGUGCAUUCUCUCAAAAACAUGGAGGGGUAAAUGAGAAAUGCACCCACACCUAGUUUUUGAUGACCUUUUCUUCAAUCGGCUUUCUUAGAGGUUUACUUCCAGAAUUAGAGAAACUAAACUAUAUGAAUUUUCAAGAACCGUCAGCAGUAGUCUUUUAUCUCGUAGUGGUAUCAUAUUGAAGUUUGUUCUUUGCAUUCCUCAUGAUUUGUUUCUUCAUCUCUAUUUAGAUAUAGUUAUUUGGAUUAAAAACAUAACAAACAAUGGAGUUAGGGAAGUGCAACUUCAUAAUCGUAUAUUGAGUGCCUACAAAAUACCAUCUUAUUUGUUUUCCUGUUCAGAGUUGACUUAUUUGAUUCUAAGUUGUAUGCUCACACCACCCCGGAAAUUUGAAGACUUCCGUAAUCUGAUUACUGUUUUGCUUGUGGGUGUCAUAAUUACAACUGGCAUUUCAUUUGGUGCUCAACUUGUUGACCUACAUUUGCAACGUUGCAUUGGGAUUGAACUUUUGGGAUGUCAAUAUAAAUAUUAUAUCAAUCUCACUUUUCUGAGUAUUAGCCAUUGUGAUGUAAUUGGAUCAAAUUUCUUGUAUAGAAUCCCAUGUGAAGGAAACACACGAAUUUAGCUCUAUACAUUUCAGGCCUGGUUCUCAUUUCUAUGUAUACAACUUGGAUAGUUUUAUGAUUAAUAUGCUCGAUAUGAUUUUAAUAAAUGUUAUCCAAACUAAUUGCCUCUAGUUGGUAAUGAUGUAAAUCGAUUUUCAUAGGUAGUUUUUGAUAUCAAUAAUCAAAUUUUUUAGAUAUAUGCAACAGAUCACUGUGAAUAUAUGCGUAACAGGUCACUGUGAAGUGUAAUAAGUGUGAGUGAAGUAUGUUUGAAUUUAUAACUCAAAUCCAAUGAUUUAAUUGCUAAUUUGAGAAUGGAAUGGUACUGUUUAUGUCAAGUGUUCAUUUUCUUCUUAUUUGUGUACAACUUUAAUAACAUGUCAGAAUGCUAUUAAGUAUUAUUCCAUCGGUCCAAGAGUAAUUCCUUUUCCUUAGAAUUUUCGAUAGCUUCUCGGGGGCGUAGAAGGCUUAUUAAUAUACAGAUUUUGUUAAGUAUAAGCUCAAUAGAAGUAGUCCGGUGUUAAGUAAAUUCCUUGUCAUCAUGUACAUACGGGGUUGUUCCUAAUUGUGCAACAUAGGACUAAAAAGAACUUUUUCUUUGAGGUAAUUACCUUCACGCACAAGGUUCUCUUAUUUGCCAGAAGAAAAUAAUAAGAGUUCCGCGAUGAAAAAUUCCCAUGUCAUAAUUGAUUGCUCCGCUCGUAAGGUUUGAAAUAAAAUGUUCAAUCACACUACAACGUUGCAUAUAUAGGUUAGUAAGUUGAGCCCAAAUGAUGUCAGUAUUAACUAUGACACCCACAAGCGGAACACUAUUCAGAUUACGGAAACCUUCAUAUUUCGGGGGUGGUGUAGGCAUACAGUGACUUAGAUCAGAUGAGUCAAUUCUGAAAAUGAAAACAAAUAAGAUGGUAUUUUGUAGGCACUGGUUUUACGAUUGUGAAGUUUCACUUCCCUAACUCCACAGUUUGAUAUGUUUUUAAUCCAAAUAUCUAUAUCUGAAUAGAGAUGAAGAGGCAGAUCAUUAGGAUUGCAAAGAAUAAACUUCAAUAUGAGACCUCCACAAGAUAAAAGAAUACUGCUGCCGGUUAUUGAAAAUUCAUAUAGUUUAGUUUCUCUAAUUCUGAAAGGAAACCUCUGAGAAAGCCGGUUGAAGAAAAGGUCAUCAAAAACUAGGUGUGAGUGCAUUUCCC
rnacentral:lncRNA from 1 species